rnacentral:lncRNA from 1 species
CUAGAGUCCAGUAACUCCAUGAUGGGUGUGAAGUUAACACACCUUGGAACCUUGUAUUGAUUAAUGGAAGCUCCUCUUGAUAUGGCGUAAUCCAUGAGUUCUUCAAACGUGCCGUUUCUCACCACCCGGAUUUCGAGUGGGCCGAUUGAGUUGUCAGCAACUCGGCCUUGUCGGUACACCGAGUUCAUCGAUUCUUCCAUUGCUAAACAGCACUGUUUCAAAACGUCGUCGGUGGGGGAGUUCGCGGCGUCUUUCACCAACAAUUCCCAGUAUAUAACGUAGUGGCCGGGGAUGGUUUUGGUGUCGGCGUAACUCGUGUACUCGACGACGCUGGUGUUGAAUUCUCGGAGGAGCCGAGAAGCGUUCUCGACGGCUUUUUGUAACUCGGCUUCGUCGGUUUUGUCCGAGUCGAUGCUGAGCAACACGUUCUUCCUCCUCACGAAAUGGAACUGUGGGGCUGAGUUAUGGAACCCCGUGACUCGUAAAAUGUCGCCGACUCGGUACCUGCAUAAUCCGGCAUAGGUCGUGAUUACGAGCUCGUAUUCUUUCCCGAUUUCCACGUCAACAAGGUCAACGAGUUUAGGAGGUGAGUCACGAGUGAACCCAGCUGAGUUAGGAUCAUGAGGUAAGAACUCGAAAUACGCCAUGUUCGGCAUGAUAGUAUACGAAACUUCCGAUGGUUUGCACAUGGGGUUAAGGUUUAACCCAAAAUAACAUUCCGAUGAAGCGUACAUUGUACAUGCCUUAGGUAACCCACCACUGUAAUAAUCCAAGGUCGGAAUAUACUGUGCCAUAGCACCCGUUACUAUAACGUCGAGGUACUUAGUAUUAGGCCAAAUCCUUGUAAUAAUCCCUUCCCAGCUUUCCUUCGAACAUUCAUGGCGGACAAACCGAGCUAGUUCGGGGUCGGGUUUCAGGAUCUUACCCAUACAUUCCCUUAAUGACGGGUCGGUUACCUUUUGAUUCAAGGUACCCGUUUCGAUAUCCUGAGAGAGUUGUCGCCAAUUAAGCUGAAGGAACCUGAUUGCACGGAGGAGACCGGAGGCGAACACCGCGCCGACACGGAGGACUUGAUGGCGGUCUUGGAGACCACGAAGCAUCUGUGUAUACAUGCUUUGGAAGGAAUCAGGACAAAGGAUGGCUUCGUUGGGGCUGGUGUAAACGUUGUAUGGGUCGUACGGUCGGGUCUUGAAAUGCUCGCUCUUGUAAUAACUGGUCAGCACCGGUCGAGCUAACAGACCACCUGGGGUUCUUGUUUCCGAUUUGACGAACAAGAAAUAUAAGCCCUUGCCUUUGUCUAAACCCGGCACAUAACUGUUUCAUACAAAAAACCCGCGUUAGCAGAGAGAAAUUUAAUUAAACAAUCUUCUAAACAUUAAACAAAUACUAAUAUAUAUAUACUUACAGAUUCAUCACUGGCAUGAGCAAACUGUAGAGCAACUGGCGGCGAUCUAGCUCUUCUUUAAUAGUUGGCAUCAGUUUCCUCUCACCAGCUGAAGUCCCGGAGCUGCACAAUUUCCCAUAUAAUAAUCAAUAUACAGCGAUGAGGAUGGAAUUGAAUCAUAUAAAUUUAUAAAGAACCAAAAAGAUAAUUUUCCCAACCUGGUGAGGAAUUCUGAGAUUGGGUGAGCUGAUAAAAUGGCGGAACGGUCGCCAUUAGCGAUACGUUGGAUUUCAGGCUGAAGGUCUUCGUAAGUAAUGACCGGAAGUUUGGAUUUGAACGAGUCACGAUCGCUUGCCCCAUUGAGUUUGAACCUUCGAAGGUACUCGGUUUGGGAGUUUUGAGUUAAGAUAUCGGACAAAACUCGUUCUUGAACCGGGUCGGCGUUCCGAGUCAUUUCCUCGAUGAAUCGCAAAGCUUUUGCAUCUUUCUCGCAUGCCGGCGGACCCAAAGGAGACGAGAUUGCGGAAUCGACGGCCAUUUAAAUCUUUCUUUAGAAAAAAGGGAGCCUUUUAAGUUUUUUUAAAAAAUUUGAGAGAGAGCUUUUGAUUAUGGAGGAAGAAGAAGAAAGGGGAACUGUGAACUAUGUGAUGAUGAACUUUGGGGAGGUUAGAAGGGGAUUUAUAUAGGGGAAGGGUAGAACGGGGAAGUAGUGGAAAAUUGAAAAACGAAAUACACGUAUAUUUAAUGAAAAAAAAAGGUUAAAAAGAUUUUUUUUUCUGUCAACUGAGGGGGAGACAAGGUGGGGGCCACAACACGUAGACAUGGCACGAAAUAAGGCAGGCAUGUGGGGUUUAGGUGACCGCCAUGUCAGCAUAGCAACAGAGGUUAAAAAAAAAAAUUGUUUUACGCGUCACACAACCACGCGGCUGUUUUCGGGUAAAAUUGUUGGCCCUUGAUUACGAUGGUCUGCCGGCACGUGAGACAGAUGCUUAUAUUUUAAUUUCAACUUUUUUUUUUUAAAAGCCCCAAAUAUUAGUCCAAAUGUUGAAAGUACAAACUGUUUUUAAUUAGAAUCAUUACUUUUUGGCUUAUAAAUAUUUAGUAUUGUUAUUUUCAUUAAUAAAGUUAAAUCAUUUUUCAUUAUUUUAUAAAUAUAUCUUUUAAUUUUUUUAAUAACAUUCCAUAAUUGUAUCAAAUAAUAUUGGUCUUACACUUUUACUUAUUAAUAAUAAAAUAUUAUUUUUAUAUUUUAUGUAUUAUAGCCGUGCAAGUUGCGCUUUUAAUAUUCAAAAGGGUUAAUUUCACAUUUUCACUAAAUAAUUUUAAUUUUUUACAUAUUUUAAUUUAGUCCUUAAAAUAUUCAUAUCAUAUAACCAUUAGAUUAAGUGUUUAAUGCUUAACUAAAUCUAACAUAGAGCAUGUUUAAAACACGUGUUAUACACGAUGGUGGAGUCGGGGUUGCCCUCCUUAAAAUAAAUUUAUUUUCAUUCAGGCCCUUUAUAAUUUAUCAAAUUUUAAAUUAGUAAUGGUAAAAUUAUACUUUGGCCACCCCAAAAAUAAUAAAUUUUUGAUUUAAUCUUUUAAAAAUUAUAAAGAUAUAGACUAUUAAAAUGGUGAAAUUGCAUUUUUACUCUCGUAAAAAUAUACAAUUUAAUCCCGCCCCAAAAAAGAAUUUCUGGCUCCGCCACUGGUUAUACGAUAAAAGUGUUAUAGAGACCCCUAUAUUAGGAAACAAGUUGAAUUUUGUUCUCUCUACUCAAAACAUGAGCAAAAUUGUCCAUGUAUGUUAGAUCAAAUAGUAAACCAGUCUUUUCCUGUUAAAAAUUUUAUUCAUUUAUAUUAUUAAAAACUAGCGUGUUCAAAAUAUACAUAUGGCAAUGUUAUUACGUGAGUGAAAAAACAUAUUAAAAUUUGAUAAAAAUUAAAUAUAACAUUGGUUAGAAAAUUACAUAUAUAUAUAUAAGGAAGUCUUAUUUAAUUCUAUUGAAUAUACGGUAGUUUGCUAAUUGAGUCUUAGUUCGAUUAGUAUGAGUAUUGUUGUCAAUGCAGGAGAACGUGGAUUCGAGUGUGCUGAAGCGCAUUAUUAUCUUAUUUAUGGGUUGAGAAGAAAAUAUGAAUAAUUCUAAACAUCAACUCAAAUAAAAUUCAUGUUGUUUUUGUAUACAAGAGUGUGUCAUAAACACGCCAUAAAGUACUUGGAAGUAUCAUUUUCAUUUUAAUUUUAAAUAAUAAGCACGUCUUCCAUAAAAAUAUAAUUAAAUAUUCCCAAUUAAGAAGAAUCUUAAAUAUAAUAAUACGGCUUAACCAACUAAAUUAUCAUUAUUAAUUUCCCCACUUACAAUUUUUUUUCUUUUAAAAAAAGAGGGAAAUGGACCACCAUAUAUCUUUAAUUUCUUUAAUUUUAUUAUUAUUUUCCCCCUUGUGCAAUGCGUUUUCAUUUCUUAUUAUUACUUGCAUUUAUUUAUUUAAACAAUUGAUUUUAGAUAAACAAUGAGUAAUUCGACACGAAAUUAUAGGACAAUGUUCCAUAAUAAGUAUACAAAUAUUAUUAAAUUAAAAAGAGAUUUUUUAAAAAUAGAAAUUCGACCAUCUAUAUAUAUAUAUAUAUUUGAAUAUGAAUAUAUAAAAAUAAAAAAUAAAUAUAUGUGCAUCACAACAUACACACAUGCCCGAAGCUAAAGAUUGUUUUUGGUUUGGAACAGAAAUUGAAGGCAUUAAAAAACACCUUAAAUAUUAAUUAUUAAAUUAAAUGCUCUAAAAUAUUAUUUAUAAAUUAAAUUAAAUUUUAAAUUUUAUAAUCGAGUUAUUAAAAUAUUAGUAUUACACUAAUCCCAUCCUUUGUUUAGAGAAAACAAGAAAAAAAGUAAAAGUUAAACCGUUUUUUAUAUUUAAUUAUUAUUAAACUAAAAAUUUAAUUAAUUGAAUCGAUAACUAGUGACCUAAACGAUGAUAAUGGUUUUUAAAAGACAAAAGAAGAGGAAGAUAUUUGGGGUCUUUUUAUUGUUGUUGUGGGAAUUAGGUAUUUAUGGAAAAAUAAGCGUUGGCGAAAAUGACGUGUUAUUAUCAGCUGUACCCAACAAGAAAGAAUAAGAGAGGCAAAACAUUGUAAAGUCCUAAGUGCUUUUUAAUUUUUCCUUUAAAUUGUCCAACCUUUUAAGGCACGGCAAUGGCCGUGUUGGAUGCUUUCUACAUUAUGUUUUUUAAAAAUAAAAUUAUUUAUUAUGAUCAAUUUCUAAUUAAAAUCUUAUAAAUAAAAAAGCCUUUAUUGCCACGUAAAAUAAGUUUAAUGGACGGUAUAUUUAUUUGUAAUUAGUGUAAAAAUAAUAACGAUAAUAAAAUUAAAUGUUAUAAUAAUAUUAUAACAUAAAAUAAAAGAUAAAAUAAAUGCAUCACAUACCACCCCACCACCUAUCCAAAUUUAACAUUUAUUUUGAAGCUCCUCAUCUAAUAUAAUAUGUUUUCUAUAAUUAAAUAAUUAAAUGAUGAAAUGGGGCCGUACAAGAAAGUACAACUCACUGUUAAGGGAUUUCAAAGAUUCCGGGAAGUAAAUAACAUAAAUCGUCACGACCCUUUGGCGGUGAGCCACACCGCUUGGAAUCCCGCAUGUGCCUGUCCAUGUGCAUGUGCUGAACCUAGUUUUCUCGGCAAUAAAUCUUGUUGCCAACUCCCACGGGCUAUCCUUUCAAAUAUUUUAAGGGUUAAUUCCGCUCACCAUUCUCGAACUAGGUUUAAUGUAAUUGAUAUUACUUUUUAGAUGUUAUCUCUAAACCGUUCAUACGAUAAAUACGUAUGUGUUUACAAAUUGAUCAAUUGUUAAUUAAUUAUUUAAUUAUUAUUAUUUAUUUAAUUUUUUAAGCAUUAAUCUCAUUAUGAUAUAAUAUCUAGAACUAUCUAUAAUCUAUCUUUAACUCUUAAAUAGGGAGAUAAUGCGCUUUAGCACACUCAAACUCACGUCCUCUUGCACUGAAAAUAAUGUUGAUGGUAAGAUUAAACUAAGACUUAAUUGCCAUGAUAAAGUAUUUAUAAUUACUAAAAAAUAAAUUUUAUCCUAAUUGAGAAAAAAUGAUCAACCAAUAGAAUUGUUACACGUAAUAUGUUAUUAUUAAAAAACGUACAUUUUUAAAUAAGAAUAAAACAAAAUAAUAUGAAAGGUGGAAAAUAAAUUCAAAAGCUAAUGUUACUAAUGAAACGCCAAAAUAAAAAAGGGUUGAAGAUUGUCUGUUUGAAAUUAAGAUAAGGAGGAAUGUUUCAAAGUUCAAACAAAACAACUCCUUUUCCGUUCUUGUAGUUAUAAUUAUUCAAUGUGGGAGUUGGAUACGUAAAUGAUUCAGUGAGGUGGUCGGCCGCCUCAAUUUUUUUCCAGUCAAAAGGUCGGCUUUGGCUCUAUAAAUCAAAUGGAUAAUUUUAUGGUUUGUUUUAGCCACCAAUAUUCCAACCGACUUUCUUUUCUUUCUUUUUUUUCUUCAAAGUCUACUCUUCAUGACCUCAACUACAAAUCAUCAACAAUUAAAAUCGAAUCAACUAUUUUUUAAUUAAAUAUUCCUUUUAAGUAAUUAAAUAUGAUAAAUUGUGGGUAUAAAAACCGAAUUGUAUUUUGCCCCUUUUCUUGAAAAAUGGACAAAUUAAGCCUUGUACGUUAGAUCAAAAAGUAAAUUUGUUAUUUUUGAUAAAGAUUUCAUCCAGUUUUACUGUUAAAAACUGGCUUGACUGACGAAAUAACCAGACAAUUAUACAUGAUGUAACGUGUAUCUCAUGCUGACUUACAAAUAUCAUUUUUAAAUAGUAAAAAUAGAUGAAAUUUUUAAAAGGACCAAUUUGUUCUUUGGUCUAAUGUACAUCGUUUAAUUUGUCCAUCUUUUGAGUAAAGAGAACAAAAUACAAUCUGAUUUCUAAUACAAAAGUCUUCAUGAUAGUUUUACCUUAUAAUAUGACAUGUUUAAUAGUACUAUUAUAUUCAACACCUUUAAUAAUUUUAUUGGAGAGCUACAAUACAACUUUAUGAUCUUAUUAACCAACAAUAUUUAGGAACAACCUUUCUCAAGUUCUAACACAUUUAAAUUAACUCCAAGUUGUAGUCUAUCAGUCGUAAACUUUUCAUACAAUGUUUAAAAUUACUUAUAACUCCUACUCAACCAUUAAAUAGAAGGAUAAACGUGCUUCAACACGCUCAAACCCAUAUCCUCUCGGACUGGAAGCAAUUUAAUACUAAACCUGCUCAUGAGUCGAGCCACCUGCCCAGGCUCAAAAGAUUGCCCAAAAAAUUAGAGGGUUUGGAAAAAAUACUGGGCUCAAAAAUGGGCCUAGAUAAAAUUUAAGGCCUAUUUUCUAUAUGGUCGGUCCUUGAGCAAACAAUUUUUGCCCGAGCUACGCCUAAAUAUAUUAUGGUAUAAAAUUUUAUAUUAAUUGUAUAUUUAUAUUUAUAUUAAAUCACUAAGCCAAACACAAUUAAACACUCAUUAUCCAAAAACCUAAAAAAAAAAUUAUCCAACUAAAUAACUCAACCCAGAAUAUAAAAGUUUAAAUGUAACGACCCGAUAGUCAGGGUAAUUAGGUAAAAGUGUAUUCCCGAGACUCCGUUCCCGUAAAUCAGACUCGUAAAUAUUUAUUAAAAAUAUUUAUGAAACUAGUUGUGUAGUUAAUUAGGUAUUGGUUAAGAGAAUUUGCUUGAAUUAAGAGUAAUUAGGUAAAAGGACUAAAUUGCAUAUAGGGUGAAAGUUAAAUUAUAGAUUAAAGAAAAAUUAAAUUAAAAGGACUAAAGAAGCAAUUAUGCCAUUUUUUAUUAAUGAGGCGGCAUAAGUUAAAAGUAUGUGUAUCAUAUUGUGAAAAGCUAUUAUAUAGCAAACGAUGAGAAUUGAGCAUGGUUUGAAAUAAUGUAUUCAUGAAUUGAGUAUUGCAUGACUGAUGUCAUUGUACGAAUAAAUAUGGUUUGAUAUGUGAAUAACUAUUUAUAUAGCAAUUGUGUGAAUUAGGAUAUUGUUUACCAAAUGAAAAAUAGUAGUUAUGAUACUAAACAUUAAUAUGUCCUUAUAAUUUAAUUGUGCCUAUUAUAUUAUAUUGUCUUUAAAUAUUCGGAUUAUAGAAAUACCACUGAGUCUUUUACUCAGCGUACGGUUUUGUUUUCCAUGCGCAGAUUAGGUAUAGUGAUUUUGAAGAGUUGUAAUUGAGGUUGUGAGCAUCCAUCUCAUCACAUCUCCAAGUGCCAAGAGGGUACGUUUCAAAAUUUUGAAUAGAAUGACAUGUAAAUUAGGAAGAUCAAGUGUAUUCCAAGUAGUAGGGACUAAAAUAUAAGUUAUAAAAAUUUAAUUUUUUUAGGUUCAAAUAUGUUAGUGAUUAGCGAAAAUCACUUUGGCACCAAAUGUAAUAUUCCUAUAUCAGGUUCCUUGGGUCGAACCGGGUAUAGAGGUGUUACAUUAAAAUUUAUAUUUAAUACAAUAAAAUAUUUAUUUGUAUUUUUAAUGUAUUUUUAUCGUGUUAGAAAAUUUUUAUUUUAGCAUUUCUUAAUGCAUUUAGUAUAUUAUAUAUUUAAAAAAAUUUAAAUAAAACCUAAUCUAAAAAAUCAAGUUUUUACAGACCAGGUCAAAUUUGGGUUUACUUUUUUUAAAUAAAAUAAGUUAAUUUUUCGGAUCAAAUGGGACCCAAAAUUAAAAAUUUGAUGUAGACACCUUGCACGAAUCCGACCUAAACUCAGCUCGACUUAUGAGCCGCUCUAGUCAGACUUAAUCAACUAUAACGAAUUUUGAAUAGUUAAAAAUUAUUAAGGUUUAUAUUAGAAAGAAUGGUGGGCUACCUAGAAAUUGGAAGAAUACCAGCUCUUUAAGUUUGAAACUAGUGUCAAUAAUAAUAAAAUUUCAACACAAAUUUGUUGGCUUACUUGACACAUUGGAACAUGUUUUAAUUAAAAAGAGACAAAAGGGGAGUGGAGUAAACGUGGAAGAAAGGAAGAAGGGAAGAAAGUGAGAAGGGGCAAAGGUAGUUUGGUGGGCUAAAAUGUUGUUUUCAAGUCAGAAGUCAAUUAGUCUAAGCUUUUCCCUUCUCCAAUGAUUUUUGGCUUGACAUUCAAGUUUUUCAGCACGUGUUUUCACGGAACAGUGACGCCGUCCCGUCGGGGCCGGGCGCCAAGGAUGCUUCCUCUUUUGCGGUUUUCACGUGGUUUUUAAACGCGGCAAUCAAACCCAAGGACUUGAAAAUAUUAAUUUCCGCACUUUGGUUUGUGUUGCCACCGGCAGCCUGUAUUGCUUCAUGGCUCAAUCUUAUGGCAAUCCGUAGUACGUGACACACGACUUUUGCUUCAAUUUCUUAACUACUAUCUUAAUUGAAUUACAGAAUUUUUAUUUUAAAUUCAUCCUAAAAAUAUCAUUUUAAAAUAAAAUAUUAUCACAUCGCUUUUAAAAUUAAAAAUUAAAAAUGAAAUAUAACAACAAAUGAAUAAUAAUUUCUGUAAAAGCUUCAAAAAAUUCAGAAUCAAAAUUUUUACAAUUUUUAUUUUUAAAAUUUUAAAUUUUGUCACACAAGAUUUUUUAUCUCGUUUGAUGAUUAAAUUAAUGAUUUUAGUAAUGGAAUGAUAUUAUUGAUAUAGCAUCGAUAGUUUAAUAAUAUAAUUAGAAUGUUUUAAAGUUUAAAAACCAAUUUAAAAUGAGGAUAAUAGUUUGAUGAUAAUUGGUGCAAUUAACUCUUAUCUACACUAAAAACUUUUAAUUGAGUUGUUUCACGAGUUAAGCAAGCACGAGUUUAAUUAAUUUUUUUUAUAAAUUACUAUUUUUAUAAAGUAAAUUAUAUAAUUAGAAAUGUGUUUUUGUUUUUAUAUAAAACCAAUAAAACCCAAUAUGGUUCAAUUUACUAUUUCAACGAAAAUCUCAUUUGGUUUUUUAUGUGAAUUUUUAAUUAAUAUAUUUUUGAUGGGUAUGUCAUAAUUUCAUGUUUAUUACUUAACUUUUAUCAUCAACAAUAUAUUUUUUUUUAUAAUUUCAUAUUUUACAAUAUAUUAAAAUCAUAAUUAUUUAAUGAGACUAUAGGUCUUUAAUGGCCUAAAUUUGAGUCGAGUUUUCUUUUGGACUAUUUUAGGUGUAAGUCUCACCAUGUGUAGGUCCUAUCUAAAUUUAUUAUAGUCUAGAUUUGGAUGUAUUCCGGUUUUUAACCCGUUGUGUUUUGUAUUGAGUUGAUUUUAGUUAUAGCCAAUCAAAUAUGUAUGAUUUGUACUUGUUAAUUGCUAAAAGUAAAAUGCUGCAUUUUCUUUAUUAAUUUAAUUUUGAAUUUCAUUUCUUUUUUACUUUACGAAAAGUGAGAAUUCUCUUUUGAAAAAGUAAAAUAAGAGCUAAUCCCUCUAUCUUAAUUUGUCAAAUUUAGUUCUUCUACUUUAUAAUAAUAGAUAACUUUAUCUAAUUGUUGGUAAAUACAUGAAAAUGAAUCGUUAUUUUUACUAAUUUGUUGCAUAUAAAUUAAUAAAAUAUUAGUUUUUUUAAUUUAUUGUUUAUAAAUUAUUCAAAUCUUAAUUUUUAAGUCAAUAAUUUGAUAGUGAGGUUUACAAAUGUUUCCCAUUGUGACAAAUUUCUCGUUUUAAUAAAAUUUGAUAAAAAAUAAAAAAAAUAUGAAAUUCCAUUUUUUUUAAUGAAGAAGGAAACUUUGUGUAAUAUGAUAGAAUUAAUGCAUAUUAAAAUGAGAUACCGUACACUGCAAGUAAUAAUUUAUAGUUAUCCUCAACGUGAUUAGUUCGACUUUAACUCAAGUCAUACCUAGAACGGUGAAUUAUAUAUAAUGUAAGUCAAAGUAAAACUAUCAUAUAUUUACUUUCUGAUAUUAAGUAAUAAUCUUAUUAUUUUUUGAGUUUAAUUUUUUUCAGUAAAAUAACUAUUUUUAAAGACUUUAUUAUUGAUUACAUCUAUAAAAUAAAUUGAUGUGACUUUUUGAUGUCGCAAUUGAUAUACUUUGUGGAAUUCCACAACAUCAUUGUUUUUUCCCUUCAAGUCUUCGGUGGUGGAUCACUACCAAAACUAGUAUUGCUUUCAAGUUUCACAUUUUCAACUUUUUUUUACGGAACAUUUUUCAACUUUAUUAAUUUCCUUAUUCUAACAAAUUGAAUGACUCGUAAUAUCAUUUUAAACUAGUUGAAUUUAAAGCUAUGGUUGAAAACUAGAUAUGUCUACAUUUAGUAUUUGGGUGAAAUAUAUGCUUAUUGAUACAGUGAUGUAAUAGGGAGGUGGUAUAAAAAAGAGAGUGGUCAUCGCUAUAGAGGUCGAUUCACCCAAUAAGGACGGGGAGCUAGAAGUUUUGGAAAGUGGAGGUGAUAAGAGUAUUUAGGCUGGGAGUUGAAAUUAGGUUGAUUGAAUGUAGACUUGGUAUCAUUGGAGAGUUGAUCUAUUCUUCAUCGUUCCUGGAAGUAUUUAUAGGGGAAGGUCUUGUGUAAUAUGAUGUUAACGUGUCGAACUUGUCAUUUAGUCAUCAUUACGAAAUGGGUAGGCGGCGUCUUCGAUGGGAUGAAGAUGUCUGUGAUGGGACAGAUCCUAUCAUUCAUCCUAAUUUGAUAUGGAAUAGGAUAGUUAAGCCCACGUAGUGUUUGGUGACCAACAACUUCAUUUUCCUAAUGAAGACUUUGAGACCCAGACAACGGAUGGCUUGCACUUGUCCGGUUGAUCAUCCCAGAAGGGAAAAACUUGUAGGUGACCUCUCGGUUCGAUGAUGGUAGGCUUAGUGUUUGGGCCUUUUUUCACUUGUUAUGUGUCUUAACAUGAAUGGGGGUAUAUUAAUAUUCCCCCUCCCUUCGAGUCAAGAGGAGGGUUAUAAAGUGGCUUUCCUUGAUGUUUUGAUCCGUUAACUUUUCUUUUACAGGUUGCUUCAGAUGUUGACCUUGUUUUACGAUGAAAUAUUAUAUCCUUUGAGAUUCUACCAUAAAUGUACUCUGAGGAUUGUGUUUUUGGGGAGCUGUGAUAAUGAUGAACAACUUUUUGGAACAAGUGGUAUGUUUCCAUUAGACAUUGUUUGUUCUUCGAAACAAUGUGUUUUAGGAGACAUGUCUAUGUAUUCUUUGGGUUUUCUUUGUCAAGAUUAUUUUGCCUAAUUUUUUUUUGAAAUUUCUAAAAUUUUUGUUGGUUGUUUUCUUGAUUUUGUUGGUCUUCUGCAAAGAUUUUUACAUUUUAAGGGUUUGUUUUCUUUAAUUCGCCUUGUGGUGUUCUUUCAUUGUCAUUGUUAGAGCUUUUUUUUUUGCAUUCUUAUUGGAAAAAAUUACUAGGGGAGAUAAAAAGUCUGGAAAAACCUAGGGUGGAGGUGAGGGUCAUAUUGGUCGUGCUUCACUGAGAGAGAGGCAACAAAGAGCCAGAAAACAACGUCGACAAAGUAUGACCGGGAUGCUGUAACAAAAUUUGAAAGAGGAAGUGACGAGAAUGUUGCCAGCCUUAGUUACCAAUGUUCUACGACCCACUAGGAGAUGAAAAACUUAUUAUUAUAUCGCAGUUUACUUGUGAAACAUCACAAGUAUGAAUUUGGUAUCCUAGAAAGGUCGCAUCAUCUUCGCAAAGUGUUUGACCUAAAUUCUACUGUGGAAAACUCGGAUUCUACCUUCUGUUGUUUCUUCUUGAAACGAGUUUUACUCAUCCACUCCCGAAUUUCAUUUGAGAUAUUGUAUAUGACUUCAAUGUAAUAUCAGGGUAAUUAACUGAUCUCUCUUGGUGGCUACUUUUUGGAACUUUAUUAUGUAUCGUAAGAAAUGCAUAUAUCCUUCUGAGUGGAUGUUCCUAUAUAUGUACUUUUUGCGAGAAUUGGAUGAGGAAAGUUUCCUAGGUUGUUUGAGUUUUACCCUUAAACAAUGGCUCUACGAACAAAGAAUCUAUUCUACAACGAGGAAUUGAUAAUACAAGUGGACUAUAGUAAAUAUAUCCUCGUAGAGUUGAAAUUUAAGAGGAGAUUUGAUUUUUCCAUUGAGUGGACACACCCUUCCAUUGAAAAAUGCUACUAUUGUCUACGUCUACAAGAUGUUCCUAGAGGAUCUCGUGAGCACAAAAUGAUAAAUCAAAAGGGGAUAUUGAUGGUUUGCCUUAAGAUUACUUUAAGAAGUAUUUUCAAAUAUUACCUUAAGGAAAAAUGUGUUUCUAGUUCGCCAUUGAGGAUAGUUGAUGGUUUCCAAAAUAAUAGGAGGUGUCAUUGGCAUAUUGUGCUUUUCCUUUCUUUGCCAAAUCUGGGAUAGCUAAGUGCUUUUGGGGGUGACUUUGAAACCCAUUUGCUAUAUUACCACAUUUUGUCAUCUUCCUAGAUGUGGCUAGAAGUUACCAUCGGGUACUAGUUAAACUAUCCCUUAGCUUCGAGACGAUCGCCAUUUGGAUGUUUUAGAAUCUCUUGCUUCUGAUAAACACAAUCCUGAUAAUGACAUUUUUUAUAAUUUUUUUCGUUGUUUUAUUUCAAAGCUAAUCUUAUUUAGUGGUUAUACUGUGUAGGUAAUGUCUUUUUGUUAAGCUCAAAUGGGCCCAGGGAGAGCAUUGGGGUUUUGAAAGGAAACGACUCAAGAACAUCAUACAUGAUAGGAACUUUUACGAAGGUCGCUAGAGUAGUCAUUCAUGAUUUCAUAGGUCCCAACCAUACCUCUUGUCGUCUAAUUAUUUUGAGUAGGCAGUCUCAUCUUGUUCGCGAGACAUAUCUUAAGGUUACUCAUUCCGUAUAUUUGGCGUAUGCUCUAUCUCAAACUCCAAGGGCUGUUGUUGCUUAGUUAAGGGGUCAUUCUACUCUUUCAGAAGGUCAUACAUGUACUUCAUCGAGCCAUGCACUUGUAGGAAUUGUGUCUCAAAGUGAGAGAGAAAAAUGAUAAAAGCAGAAAAAGAGUACAUUACGCGAAUCCAUGAGUGAGAUAUAAAGAUUCGUCACUUGAAACUCAAUCUCAAUAAUUCCAUCGGGAGGUUAAAUAGGCAAACUCAAUUUUUAACGGAAGAAAUGGCUCGCCAAAGGGAAGAGAUGGAAAAGCGAAUGGAAACCAAUAAGUGUCUGGAUACAAUGAAAGUGAUUGUCUUUGUUAUUGUUGUGCAAUGAUACUUGCUACCAUGCAAGUAACUUUUGGGCUACUGAACCUUGUUGGGAUGAACUUACAACCCUUUUUUGACAUGCUUCAAGAGGGUCAUCAUUUCGAUUUUGAUGUAUACUACCCUAUUGACCUGAAUGAGAGAAGUUCUAAACUUAUACCAUGAGGCUAGUCUACUACAGGGGUGCUUUCACUAGAAUUUGUUUCUUCAUUCAAAGGAUGUCGAUGCUCAAACAAGACCAUCUAGGAAGAUAGCUAUGGAUAGUGUUGCUAGAGAGGAUACUUUUAGCUCUUCUAGUUAUGAUGACAUGGAUCCCAUUGCCUCUUGCAAUAAAGGGAAAGGGCUUGCAGAUUGAGACACCUCCCAUGAUAAGGGGAAAGGUCCUGCCGGAGGAUAAACUUAUUGUAAAAAAAUUGUUGUUAUAUAGUUGUUUAUAAUUUCUCCUUUGUACAUUUUCACAUUUUAAUGAAAUAAUCUCUACUUCUUACUCUUUUUUGUCUCACCUUCUGACUUUUUAUCCUAUCACAUUUUCUAGUAACACAAAAUUGUAUUACAUUAGACCAAAAUUCAAAAGACUAUAUCAGCUAUCGAGAUGGCCUAACAAGGUUAUCGGAGUUUUUGAAAAGAUUUUAUUUAAAACAUUUAUUUAGUUUAAUAGAAUACUUAGUUUAGAUGUCGAUUUAUUAUUCCUUAAUUUUUUAAUUAUCUUCCAGCAGCAGAAAAGAUGAUAUUUACUUAAGUUUUUUUAAUAAAAAGCGGGGUUCAUGCUUAAUCAAUUAAUAGUAACAAUUUAACAUCCUAAUUAAAAUCAUAAUUAAGUGUCAUACAACAAUAAAAAUAUCUUAAGUCCUAAAUCCCAUGCCAUAGAUCAAAUAAAACAUCACAAUAAUUGAAUAAUAAAAUAAAUCAAAAGAUUAAGCCUAACUAACUGAAAAUAAAAUGGAUUGUGUCGAGACUCUCCGAAUAUCGUGCCCGCGUCCUAACCUGGUGGGUUGUUUGUAAUGAUGAAAUUAAAGGGGGAAUAAGCUUUGACGCUCAGUGUGAGUCCAUUUACAACAAAACCAAUGUGACACUCAUUAGGACACAUUUAUUAACAUUGCAUAGAAUAAUCAAAGAUAACAAUUCAAUUCAUAAUAUCGAUUUUUCAAAUACAACCAUCACUGAUAUAACAGAAAUCACAAUAAUAAUUUUUAGGAUAAUCAAAUCAUCAGAAUUGCCACAAUAAUCAAAUUCCAUUCAUAUAUAUAGAUUCACGCAUAUGUAUAAUUUCAUAAUUUUCCAGGUUUGUAUGCACAUGAUUUAAAUGAUGCCAUACAGUUUCGGGUUUUCAACAAAAUAAAUCCUACCCCACCGUUAGACACCACAGUAGUAGUUCUCAGAACUCCUCUACCUUUACAUCAUAUUGCGGUUAAACCACUACAAGUUUGCAGAUAACAACUGCCAUAUUGCUUGUAGACACAUAGCAAGUCUUCUUGGCUGGAAUCUGCUUUUGGCUGUAGUUUUACAGUAAAAGUUCUGUAGAUGAAACCUGUUUUUUCGACUAUAAAUUUUACAGUAUAAACUCAUCGUUGGUAUCGGUCUUUGACUGUGGAUUAAAAGCAGUACCCACUGAUGGGAUUUGCCAUUUCACUAUGGAUACACAACAAUUUACAAAUAAGAAUUGAGGCAUGACUAUGUUCUACACUUGCCAUUUUACUUGCAUAUAAACUGCUUGAUCUUUCUCUGUUCAUAACAACCCAACCCAUGCAAUGCAUUAAGGAAUAUUAAGUAAUCUAACACAUGGCCAAUUAGUAGCAAUUCAAGCUUUUCAUGUAUUCAGUAUUUGAUAAUAAUAUAAGGUAUGUCAUCCAUACGAUUGCAAGUAUAUAGGUACAAAUGUAACAUAUACUAUUCAUAAUUCAUGCAACUAUUCAUAAUUAUAAUUAAAUUCUGUAUUAAUUCGAUCAAUCAUAGAUUCUAACCUAUUUCAUAUCAAAAGGGACCUAAUUGCAUAAUUUAAUUCAUUAAAAAUAGCUCAGAACCUAUUUUGGGACUAAAUUGAUCAAAAUAUAAAAUUCUGAGUCAAAAAUAUAAUUUCUAAGUUACAGAGGACACACGGCUGUGUGGAAAGCCUUGGGCCGUGUGAAAGGGGUACACGACCUUAUGGCUAGGCUGUGUGAAAGACAGUGGUCGUGUGGUGUUUCGAAAAAUCAACCUACAUGAGAAGUUACAGUCGUGUGAUAGGUUGUGUGAAGGAUCCUAGGCCGUGUGAAAAGCGAAAAUCUAAGGUUUUAGGGGGCAUGGCCAUGUAAGUUGGUUGUGUGGUCCACACGAGCGGCCUACACGCCCAUGCGAUCUAACCUAGGCUCAAUUUUAUCUCAAUUUUCUCUUAAAAGUGCACACACCUGACUUUCGAGGUCUCGAAUAAUGACCCUCACGUCCAAGUUUGGCUCAAGAUACCUAUAACGGGUCUUUCGAUCGACAAAUACGUAAGAAUUAAUAUCGACUUUCAAGAUUUAUCGAAAUUAUCAAUAUUUUCGAGAAGAUUUGUAAAAGAUUAUUUUAUCAAUCUUGGAAUUAUUGAGAACAAGUGUUUUAUAGAUAUUCAAGAUCUAAUUAUCAAGAUUUGGAAUGUUGUUGCCGAUCCUGGUACGUUAGAGACGAAAUUGACGGCUUUACGCUAAUUUGAUACGAAGAACAUAUUGAACAGAGGUUGAUUUUGAGUUUGGGAUUCAAAAGUAUUAAUCUCAGCAAUGGGAAACAAAAGAUUUAGCAAAUGAGAAGAUAGAGGAGAAAAGAGAGAAGAUAUAGGGGCAAAGAAACUAUAAUUCUAUUGUGAUUUGGAAAGAAAAUUAAAUAUCUAGGGUUUUCACACUUUAGGGGUUGAUUUGGAAAAUAAGCCAUUUUGUCAAAAAAAAUUUAAAACAUGAAACAAAAUUAGCGUGAUUCAAACCUUGGUGGAACGGGAAAUAUGUUAAAGCCUUACCAUUUGAGCUACUACCCAUACUUGGUUAUUUUCUACCACAUUUAAUAUAUAUACUGAAUUGAAUUUGUUUCUUAGUUGCUGAAAAAUAAAAGAGGAAAAUGGAAAGAGAUUAAUUCUAAGACUAUGGUUUUUAGGGUGUUACAUGAAUAGCCUUCUGUGUUGUGAAGCAUUGUGCUCAUAUCAUUCUGUAUUAAGUGCCUUUAAUUGCCAUUGAAUUUGGUCGCUCUUGCUUAAAUGUUUGGUUGCCUUUUUUUUUAUCUUUUGGAAAAGGCCAAUUUUUGAUAUGUUAUUUGUCAAAAAGUUGAAGCGUGUUGCACAAGCCUUUUGGAAGGACAUAAAAUAUGAUCAGAAGCAUUUAAUUCGGGACCUAAUAGUGACAUUUAGGGAAAUGGUACCAAUGAUGGUGCCUUACCUAGAGUGUCACAUUUGGCCACGUGUAGCUUUGGUGUUGGGUGGUGUCGAGACAUUAUUUAUUCGACUAAAACACAUUGUUUAGUUGAGAAGGUUUAUAGAAAUCCUUUUCUUCUUCUUCUUCUUCUUCUUCAUCUAUUUCUUUGCUAUACUGCUACUUUGUUUUUGUUUGUACUUUCUUUUUGCUUGAGUUUUCUUGAUUUUGGGUUGCUUCUUUUCGUGUCUUUCUUCUAGUCUAUUUUUUAGGUUAAGAAUAUUCAUUUUCUUGGUUUUUAUCUUUGUUGUCUAUCUUUAUUGCUAUGUCUUCUAUUGAAACUCAGCAGAGUUCAUCGAAGGAUUUUGAUUCCGUAAAAAAUAGAAUAUCGAUAAUGACAAUAUAUCACAAAGAAAAGAGAAAUAAAAAAAAGAACACACAAAUUUUUACGUGGAAACCCUUUUGGGAAAAAACCACGGAUAAAGGAGAAGAAAAUUUACUAUGUCGAAUUCGAAUUAAUUACAGGAGGAGUAGACUAUGUCUAUUUAUAGGCUUGUAAAACCAUAUUCUAAUAGGAGUGUAGUAAGAUUGAAACACCUUAUUCUAAUUAAUAUCAAAUAGACGGAGUUUAAUAAGGUUUAAAAAAACCUUAUUCUAAAAUAAAAUAAAAGAAGUAUAGUUCUAUAGGGAUUUUACUUUUAUUUUAUUUUACCACUGUAUUUUAUUUAAAUAAGGAUUCGGAUCACUUAAUUCUAACAGAUUCUUCGGUGACUAAAAAUCGUGGGGGGUGAGGCAAGGUAUUCCAAAAGUGUUGAUGGUGGUAAAAAAGAGGAUCCUCCUUGAAUAACGUGUGAGGUUACUUUUAGUGGGCAUUUCUAGUGUACCACCACAUCAGACGAAUCUACGGCUUUGUUGCAAGCUCGAGGGCCCCACCAUGGCCAUGUAUGAGAUUUCUCGAGUGGAGGGGAAAUAUAACCUUUACAAGACUUACAAGAAUCCUCCAUGCUUUUUGGUUUCUCUAUAAGCUUUAGAAGCCAAUUUUACCCUUCAAUUGUAUCAUUUUCGUGGGAGGUUUUGAACUUCUAUAAAAUAGCUCUCGGGCAAUUAUUUGGAACCUUUUGGUGGUUGUUACACCCACGAUGUGGGUGAAAGAAAAUAUUUUAUAUACUUUUUAAAAAGAAAUUAAUGAUGAUCAAUGGUGGAGUGGUAAAAAAAAUCCUCCAUGCUUUUUGGUUUCUCUAUAAGCUUUAGAAGCCAAAUUUACCCUUCCAUUGUAUCAUUUUGCGUGGGAGGUUUUGAACUUCUAUAGAAUAGCUCUCGGGCAAUUCUUUGGAACCUCUUGGUGGUUGUUACACCUACUAUGUGGAUGAAAGAAAAUAUUUUAUAUACUUUUUAAAAUGAAAUUAAUGAUGAUCAAUGGUGGAGUGGUAUAAAAAAUUGUGCUUAAAUGUAUUAAACACAUGUUCAAUCCAUAAAUUUGUUGGCUUUAGUUGUUUUGUUUAAAAGUUAUAUAAAAGCAUGAAAAAGAUAAAAACACAACUUAGUCAAAAGUUUUAUAUAGAUAUAGAUAUAGAUAUAGAUAUAGAUAUAGAUAUAGAUGCAAAUUAAAUUACAUAAAUACCCUUAGUGUAUUAUGUAUAUUAUCAUGCAAAUUUAUUUUGAAAGUAGUGGUCGUUCAAUAUUUAAGAGGAGGAAAGAGGAUAAUAAAAUUUAAAUUCAUGUAAUUUAAAUAUCAUACGAAAACUUUAAUCAUUAUUAAGUCUUGUUGGUCAAGCAUUAUUAAUAUAAAUAUAAAAAAUGAAGGGUUAAAUAAUUUAGACGUAAAAUAAAAAAAAUUAAAAAUUUCGAAAAGAAAAUUGUAAUUGAUUGAGAUUAACCUAAGUUUAUGUUAAAACAUAUACAUCAGUAAAGCAAAAUGCAUAUCUUGAACAAUCUAAUUGUUUGAAUAAAAUUAAUUAGAAUUUUAGUGUGUUUAAUAUUUUUUAUAAACAUUUUUUAAAAAUUUACUUACGGUCUUUUUGGAUAGGGGUUUACUUUCAGUGCAGUGUAUUUGGUUUUCUUUUUAUCUCAUUUUACAGUACUAUUAUGAUAUCUAAUCUGACCACAACCGUUCUUUUUACACUAACCGCAAAUAAACACCAUACCUAUUCAAAACGAAACUCACACAAAACUUGAAAGUGCAAAUGCUAAAGGUUUUAAAUUGAUGUUUUAACUUCAAUACUAAUGAUGGAGAUGUCCACUAAUUAAUGAUGUAAUUAACAAGACAAAGAUGUCUUCAAAUUAAACAAUGUCAUGAUUGUUUAUGUCACUAAAAUCACCAUACUUGUAUGAAAUUGUUUUUUUUUUCUCUUGGUGCAUUGUACCCAUAAAUAGCAUUUUUCAUUCUACACUUUUAAAGUCAAUGUCAACACUACAGUGAUUAUUUGAAUUUAAUUAUAUAUAUUCACAACAAAAAAAGAAAAAGAAAAAGAAAACCACAAGUUAAAAAGAUUAAUUGGUUGUAAUUCUUUUACAUAUUUUCAGUUAAGUCAAUUUAUAUUUUUUUAUAGAUGAUUAAUUAAAUAUUUUAAUGGGUUAAAUAAAAAUAUUUAAAGGAUUUAAAAUAAAUAUAAAUAUUUAAAACUAAACAAUAAAAAUUUAAAAGUUGAAAUUUACCUCACUAUGAGGUGUGAGGUUAUGAUUAAUUGAUAUUAUACAUAACUUUGUUAAAUCGAAUUGGAUAAUUUCAAUAAAUUGAAUUAAAUUUUUAAUGAUAAAAAAUUAAAUUAAAUUAGUCGAUUAAAUCGAAAAUUAGUGACCUAUGGUAAAUUUUUAGAAUUGUUUUUGAAGUGGUAAAAAACCCAACAUUUAGAAUUGAGAUUUUUUAUUUUUAUAAAUAUAAUUUUUCUUAUAAUUUUCAAAAUAAUUUUUGACCUUUAGGAAUUUUUAAAUUAUUAUUAAAUUAUUUUUUUAUUUUUAUUAAGUUGUUGAGUUAUUAGAUUCAAAUUUCAACCAAUUGAACGAAGAACUAGAGGUCCAAAUGGGUUCGACUUUUGAUUCAAUUCUUACAACAUUAAUUAUAGAGCAAACUAUACUUAAUGUCACUCUAAAAUAAGGUUUGUUCUAUUUUAGUUACUCUAAAAUUUUUUUAUGUAGUCACUCCAAAUAAAAUAAUUUUUCAAACUAAUCAUUCCUGUUAAAAUUUUUCAUUUUCUCCAUAUGGAUUUCUGUUAUGAUACAUUAGCCAACGAAAUGACCAUACAUAGCAUUAUUUUUUAAGUUUUAACCAAAGUUUUUGGACCAUGUUUAGAGACCUCUACGUGAUUAUCCCGAAACACUUUUCCAUUUCCAAAGCCAGCUCCUUUAUGUUUUGGAGUGAACAGAAAAUUUUAACGAAAGUAUUUAGUUUAAAUAAAUAUUUUAUUUGAAAUGUUUAAAUUAAUAAAAAAUAAAAUAAUUAAAAUAAGACAAAUUUUAUUUUAAAGUGAACUUAAAAAUAAUUAUUCUUAAAUUAAUAUAUAUUAUAACUUAAAAGUUGUAAAACAAACCUCGAGAUUCAAACCCUAAACCAAUAAAGUAUCACUCAAAAACACCCUAACUUGGACAUUUUCUUCUGCGAAACUUCUUCCUUUACUCGUGAUUGACAGGGAGUCCAAUUUGCUUGAAAAAAGGUUAAUAAUAGCCAACAUGGACCUAUAAUUAGGUUAAAGAAAAACAAGGAUAAAAAUGGUCCGAAUCUUAGAAAUAUCUCAAGUCUUUCCUACAAGUCAUGUAAAGAGGAAAAAAAAAAGCAGUCAAAAUAAGUGGGUGACUCCAAAUUCUAAAUUCUACCAUGUCCAUUGUUCUCAAAAGUCGAAAAUCAAAUCAUAAUAAGGGAUUUUUUUUAUUAAUUAAUUAAACCAUCUGUUAGAAUUGUGUGACCCAAAUUCUAAGAGAUUGCUUGCAAGUCAAGUUAAACAAAAAUAUAUUUUCUUUCUAGAAGAUUUAGUAUUUAUUAGUAUAAUAUAUUUAGCAUUUAUUAGUAUAGUUUAUUUGACUUACUAAUUUAGUCUAUAAAUAGGCUCCUUCACAAUCUUAGAAUUAAGAGACACCCAUUAGAUUAGAACUCAUAACACAUUCAGAGAAUUUUGUGUUUACGUUUGAGGGUUCUUUGUUUUUCGGGUUUUCGGGGUUUAGUUUUUAUCUCCAUCUUUUGUACUCUUCAUUAUUUUGCCAUUAUAGUAAAAUUAUCUUUGCCCGUGGUUUUUUAUCCUCUUUUGAGGGGUUUUUCCACGUUAAAUUUGUGUGUUCAUCUUCUCAAUUUCUUCUACUAUUUUUACUUGUUCGUUGCUUAAUCGGGACGAUCCUAACAAGUGGUAUCAGAGCUAGUUUAACUUUCAUAGAUCAGCCCGGUCAAAGAUGGCAGCAACAAGGUUUGAAAUUGAGAAGUUCGAUGGUGAGACAAAUUUCAAUCUGUGGCAAGUUCAGAUGAUGGCAAUUCUAGUUCAAAAUGGCUUGAAAAAGGUUGUUACAGGGAAAAAGCCUGAGAAUCUAAAUCAAACAGAAUGGGAAGAGCUUGAUGAAAAGGCCUUGUCUGCAAUCCAGUUGUGCCUCGCGAAUACAGUAUUGCAGGAGGUAUUGAUGGAGAAGACCUCAUUCGCCUUGUGGAAAAUGUUAGAAACUCUUUAUGCGACUAAGUCUCUGGCUAACCGUUUAGUGUUGAAACAACGUCUAUUUACGUUUCGCAUGAACGAAGGUGAGCUUCUUAAAGAUCACAUCAGUCAAUUCAUUACUCUUUUAAAUGAUUUAAAGAAUGUUGAGGUUCAUAUUGACGAUGAAGAUCAAGCUAUGCUAUUAUUGUACUCUUUACCCUCUUUAUAGAAGUCUUUCAGGGAGGCCCUGAUUUAUGGCAUAGACAAACUCUCAUUCGAAGAUGUGAAGGGUCAUUUGUUGAGUAGAGACAAACUCGACAAUGAGUUUGAUUUGAAUAGCAAAGCAGAUAGACAAGCUUCCGUUUUGGUAGCAUCAAAGAAACGAGACAAAAGGUGUCGCUAUUGCAAAAAGUUAGGUCACGUCAAAGCAGAUUGUUAUAAACUGCGAAAUAAAAGAGCUGCUGAGAGUAACGAGGAAGAUGUAGCUGGUGCUAAUUUGGUCGAUAAAGGCGGUGAUGAUUUCUUGUUAGUGUCAACGAGCGAUAACUCCAAGCUUACGUCUGAGUGGAUCCUAGAUUCAGGAUGUUCUUUCCACAUGUGUCCCAAUAGAGAAUGGUUCUCCACAUACAGUUCAGUUGAAGGUGGAGUUGUGCGCAUGGGAAACGAUUCAUCUAGUAAAAUAAUCGGUAUUGGUACUGUUAAAAUUAGGAUACACGAUGGGACGAUUAGGACACUCUCAGAUGUCAGGUAUGUACCUGAUUUACGAAAGAAUCUCAUCUCCUUGAGUAUUUUAGACUUGAAAGGAUGCAGAAUCAACAUCGAGUCGAGCGACAUUAAAGUAUCUCGUGGAGCUCUCGUUUUGUUAAAAGGUAAAAGAACCGGCAGUCUUUAUAUUCUGGAAGGUUCUACAGUGACCGGUGAAAUCGGACGUCCCUCGUCCGUUACGGAGUCAAAGUCAACUCAUUUGAAGCGGAGGCAACUUGGUCAUAGGAGGGAAAAAGGUAUGACUGUUUCGUUGAAGAGAGGUUCUCUUUUGGAUGCAGGUUUUGAAAAGUUAGGGCACUGUAUUCGUGAAAAUCAGACUCGGGUUAGUUUUGAUUUGGCAGUGCACAAGUCGAAGGCUAGAAGUCUUCCAGCUUCUAAGCAUAGAUUCGACUCAGUUAAUUCCCUGCAUAGUUCAAGUUAGGCCCGUGGCGGGUUUUGGCAAAGAUGGCAUUGAAAGAAUUCGUGUCAAGGUGGAGAUUGUUAGAAUUGUGUGACCCAAAUUCUAAGAGAUUGCUUGCAAGUCAAGUUAAACAAAAAUAUAUUUUCUUUCUAGAAGAUUUAGUAUUUAUUAGUAUAAUAUAUUUAGCAUUUAUUAGUAUAGUUUAUUUGACUUACUAAUUUAGUCUAUAAAUAGGCUCCUUUACAAUCUUAGAAUUAAGAGACACCCAUUAGAUUAGAACUCAUAACACAUUCAGAGAAUUUUGUGUUUACGUUUGAGGGUUCUUUGUUUUUCGGGUUUUCGGGGUUUAGUUUUUAUCUCCAUCUUUUGUACUCUUCAUUAUUUUGCCAUUAUAGUAAAAUUAUCUUUGCCCGUAGUUUUUUAUCCUCUUUUGAGGGGUUUUUCCACGUUAAAUUUGUGUGUUCAUCUUCUCAAUUUCUUCUACUAUUUUUACUUGUUCGUUGCUUAAUCGGGACGAUCCUAACACCAUCAUUAUUUUCAUCAAAAACAACUUAAAAAUAAAGUACGUUUUUGAUAGAUUUGGUUAUUGGAACAGGUGAAAAACAGCCAUGCAUGAAACUAGCCCAGUCGGCAUAGGUGAGAGUUCGUUAAUUUUCUUGGAAAUUACACAGAGAAAAAGCAUGAUCAUGAUGUGUUCUUAAUAAUGUUCCACAUUAUUUUCUUUAUGGUUUCCUUUCUGUGUUGCAUCAUUAAUCAAACGGCAAGAAAACAGACCAAAAAAGUGAUCCACUUUAAAGUUUGUCGUCCAUGGAGUUGCCAUAUAUCAUCAUCAUCAUUAAAAAGACCUAGAUAAUUUAUGCAUUAAAAUCUCAAGCUGAAACCAUUGUUGGAUUGAAUGAGAAGAAUGUUGAAUGGAGAAAAUAGGUGUUUUCACUUUAAAGUUAUUUGGAUUUUAAAAAUUAAGACCAAUUUGGAAACAUAUAAUUUUUAGAAUUUAUGAAAGUUUAAGUUGAUAUAGAAUAAAAUUACAUUUUAACCUAAAAAUGAUAAAAAUGUGAUUUAAUUGUUUAAAAUUUAAAAAAAAAAUAAACUAUUAAAACAAUAAAUUUAUAUUUAGCUCUAAAAAACAUACAAUUUAAUUUCAUCCCUAGAAAAUUUUUCUAGCUUCACUCCUGACGCACAUAUGAUUUGAUUAUGAGAUAAAGCAACACUUAAACUUGAUAACUUUUUCCAUUUUGGCCUCUGAAUUUGGUGUCAACAUUAGUGUUGAAAAUUGACAUAUUUUCUUAAUUUAAUUCUUAAACUUGAAUUCCAUUAAAGUGUGAUCAUGUAAUGUUACUUGAAAAUUUCAAAAAAUUUAUAUAAAACCUAGAAAAUACAAAACAUAUAUAUUUUUAAAAAUAAGUGACGAGUGUAAUAAAAUUUCAGAAUAUAGCAUCACACAUUUUAACGAAAUCCAAACUUAAAAGAUAAAAUUAAAAAAAAAACUUAAUUUUAAAAAUCAAAUAUCAUUUUAACCCAUUGAUUAUUCUACCAUCUUUAUAGGACACAUCCUUUUUGUUUAAGAAUCAGCAGGCAAAAGCUAAAGGUGGUGGUUUUUUUUCUUUCUUUUUUUAGUAGUGUGGGUAAAAGAUAAAGGCAUAUUAUUAGUAGAAUUAAAGCAAGGGUACUUUAAGAUAGGUUUUUCUUUUUAAAUGCAUGACAGGUUCGUUGUAUAUUAUAAUUGCAUGCAUGAUGCACUUCAUUCGUUAGUUUCACGAUAUUGUCCUAUAGCUAGAGGCUUUUUAAUAUAUUUUGCUUUUCAAUUCAACUUUUAAGUUGGCUUUUUCAAUAUAUUUUGGUUUCUAUCACGUUUCUAUUUUAUGCCUUUUAAUUUAAUAUAUAUACUUUAUCCAUCAUGCUUAUAUUGGAGAUAUUUUAUCCACAAAUAAAUUCUCAAAUUAGAUUGAAUUAGAUUAAGUCUUAGUUCGAUUAGUAUGUGUAUUGUUGUCAAUGUAGGAAGACGUGGGUUCGAGUGCUCUGAAGCGCAUUAUCCUCCUAUUUAUGGGUUGCGGAGGGGCUAUGCUUAGUUUUAGCCAUUGUGUCCGGCUCGUUCUUGACAUUUUUAGGGUCCUAGGUGAAACAAUAAAUUGGGCCUUUUAAAAAAAUAUUAUAAAAUGUAAUACAAUAAAAGCUGAAAAUUUUUUGAGGCCCUAGGAGAUGAAGCAUUUACGGUGAAAAGUUGAAAACCCUAGGCAUUUAAUUAAUUUAUUUUAAUCUAAAAUUUUUCCCACAUUAAAAGCUGAAAAAAUAUAUUUUUUAGGACCCUUCCAGCCUUGGGCCCAAGGCAGCUGCACUCUCAAAUAACCCCUAGGGCCGAGCCUGAUUGUGUCAAACAGAACUAUUAUGAUCAGAAUCUAUAAUGAGAUUAUUCAAAAAAAAUUAUGCAUGUAUCAAUAAGUUGAAUAAUGAUCGGGAGAAUUGGAUUAAAUUAAUCAAAUUAACUAGUUAAUUUUACAAUUUAAAAUAUUGAAUUUCAAAAAUAAAAGAGAUAAAUAUCAAAUUUAUAUAUGGACUUUGGUUUAAUGUGUAAUUUGAUACAUGAAUUUUGGUUUGAUGCAAUUAUACAUAUGAAACUUGAACUAUGGUUCAUGUGUUGUUGAGGGAGGUCGACUCCUUCGCAAGAAUUAGUCUUUGAAGUAUCAUUUGCCAAGUAGUCGACGUUGCCUUUAACAAUCGAAAGUAUUGUCCUCUUGUCGAGGUUUUGUCCCCCAACCUUCACGAAGAGUUAAGUGUUAAUAUUGGGCGUGUGAAUAAUUAUAUAUGGAGGUAUAUGGGCGCACCAUGGAUCAAACCACCAACAUAGGCUUUAUAUAAACCUUAUAAGCAAACCUAGUACCACUUGAGCUACGGACGCAGUAGACGCUGCCCGCAACAUAUGUAAUUGAAGUUUUGAUUUUGAUUCAAUUAUACAUAUUUAAAGAAAUGAAUACAUAAAUUUAUUUUAAUAUUGGAUUAAUAUAAUUACUUGUGUAUGCAUUAUAUCAACGUAAAACAAUGCUAAUUUGAUAAUGUUGUUACUGAUUUGUGAAACUUAAAUCAAAUAAAAAUUUCAUACAUAAAAUCUCACAAAAUAAAAAGUUCAUGUAUUAUAUUGCACAUUAAAUCAAAAUGCAUGUAUAACUUUGAUAUUUAUCCAAAAUUUUUUUUAUCAAAACUGGUAAAAGAUAGAGACUUGAAAACUAGAAAGAUUGAUUAAAAACAAUUAAAUAGUCAUCUAUCAACCGGGUCCCAACUCAAUUAGAAAAUUACCAAAUACCCAAUCAUUUUAAAAAAUAAUAACUAUAUUAUGAGGUUUUUUCGUCUUUUUGUAUUUUGAUAUCGUAUCUAGAAUAAUAUAUGUAUAAUAAGAUUUGAACCCAAUAAACAAAAGCUUUUGUUAUUUUAACCUUAUCGUUUUAACUAGAGCCUUAUUUAUUUUAUAAAUUUUUUUGUUACAUAAAUUCUUUUUGGCUCACGUUGUGCGACAAUUUAGUGUUUUUUGGUUGAUUUAUUAAUCUAUUUUUAAAUAUAAUAUUAUUUUAAUUUAUUUUUAGAUUUUUAAUUAUUCAUAAUUACCAUUUUUAAAAUUUUUAAUAUAAUUAUACUGCUCGAUUCAAUCCAUUAAAUCGAUAACAAAAAAUUCAAUUGGUUCAAUUUCCAAUUCGUUUUUCUAUCGAUGAGUAACUCCAAGUCAAAAAAUAUGUGUAGUGUGAACCAUAAAAGUAUUAUGGAGGUCACUGUGUUAGGAGUCAAUUUGCAUUUUGCUCUCUCUACUAAAAAAUUGACAAAUUAGCCCCUGUACGUUAAAUAAAAGAGUAAAUUGGUUCUUCUAUUAAAAAUUUCAUCUAUUUCUACUGUUGAAAACUUGUCCUUGUACAUUAGCAUGAGGUAUAUUUGACACGUCACGUGUAACUGUCUAGCUAUACCGCUAGCUACACCAAUUUUUUAUAGUAAAAAUGGAUGAAAUUUUUAAUAGAAAUGACUAGUAUACUUUUUGUUCUAAUGCAAAUAGACUAGUUUACUCGUUUUUGAGUAAAUGAGAGUAAAAUACAAUUUAACUCGUAGCAUAGGGGCUCCAUGGUACUUUUAUUUAAUGUAAACCAAUAAGAUCAAACUAGUAGAGAGAACAGGAGCCACUGGGCCAAAGCCACUGAUUAGCACUUCUUAAUUAAAAAAUUGCAAAAGCCCAAAUAUAAAUUUCAGCCCAUAAAAUCUGGAGAAACAUUUUUCGCUACCAGCGCAAAAUAGCACGAAACUGCUAAAACAAAGUCCAGGUUCACAGGCCCUUUUCACUAUUACAUAAAGGCUUUAUUUGUAGAUAAACCCCUAAACUAUACCUCAAUUUGGAGAUUGAUCCUUAUAUUAUUUUCAAAGAAUGAUACUAAUUUUUUAUUUUAUCUCAUUUUGAAAAAAAAAAAAUUGUACAACAUCCAAUAAAAAUGCCACGUUGCAUGUUCAUAAAAUUUUUUAGUAAACCGAAACAAAAUUAAUAGUUUAGGUAUCCUUUCUUUAUCUUAAAAAAAAUUAAGGACCAAUCUGAGUAUUAGGAUAUAGUUUAAGGGUCAACUUACAAUAAAUCCUUGCAUAAACACCCCUUGAUUUUUUCUCAAUUUUCUUUUUCUUCUUUCUUCUUCUUCUUUCUAUCACCGCGCUGAAAAUCUCCUCUCUCUCCGUAUAGUUUCCAAAAUCCAACGCACUAGAUUCAAGGUCAGUUAUUUUAUAACCUUAAUUUUUUAUAAUUUUAAUUAUUAUUUUGUUGAAAGAAAAAAAAAAGAAGAAAAUCUCUAAGUGAAGCACUAAUAAUUUCAAAUCUAAUUCUCAUUGUUGUUCUCUCAAUUGUUCAAUAGAAUAUUCGAAAUGUCAUCUCAGUGAAGCUUUUUGAAUUUUGUUCUCCUUGUUUUCCUUUUUUUUUUUUGUUUAAUUUCGUUUUGUAUUUGCUGAGAUAACUGAGGUCAAGAUAGAAAAGAAUGGGAAGGUUUUUCGAAUUUCAUUUAAUUUUCUGUGUGGAGUUGAUCGAUUUUGCUUAGGUUACUAUUUGUGUCCUCAGUUUAUGUCUCUAUUUACAUUAAGAUUUUUUUUUGGUGAAAAUUCAUCCGUUUUAAGCUGGAUAUGAGCAAUUUCUUUGUUAAAUUGAGCUGUGAAUGAUGUUAUGUUAUCAUUAGGGUUUGAUGUAGAAAAUGACACCUAGAUAUUGAAGAUCUCUUUGUUAAAUGCAGGAAAGAUUGGUAAGCUGGCUAGUUAAAGUAAAUAUAUAGUUUUGGUUAAAUGAUAAAUUCUGAUAGUGAAGUACAGAGAUGUACAUUUGAAAAAUGCACAUUGUCACUUGCAUGCUACUAAUAGAAAGUUAAGUUAGGGUAUGCAAUGGCCUUGUGUCGAGGCGAUAGUUGAUGUUUUAAGGUAGCUCUUUCAAAGUCUGCUCUGAGUAAUUUGUUCUUAAGUUUAUCUUUUGAACAUCUAGUGUUUUAUAUGAUAUCUUGAUUUCUAAAUUGUUUUUAACAAAGAUUUUGCAUUGCGAUUUACCUCCACUGCCUAUUUUCGAUGAAGUUUCUUAUUAUAAUAAUACUGUUUAUUACAUUUGUAGACAUGGUAAUUUUUAGUUUUUUUUCCUCUCACUGUCUCUCUCCCUCCGCUUUUCCCCAUAUUAUAGUGUUUUUCUUAUUCAAAUGCAUAAAUAAAUGGAGAUGCAUUGGACAAUUUCUGUUAUGAUCUAGCUUGGAGAAAUAAAUGGUCCUAAAUAGCGAACUCUAUUCGUUAGCUUAUGAAACAACAAAGUAGUAAAACUGGCAAUAGCUUGGUUUUUAAUGAAGCUUAAUGUCUUAGGAUUUCUUACUUUAUUCAUUGUUAUUUCCUUUUACUGUGUUUCCUUGCGAGUAUUUUAGGUCUGCUUUAACAUUAGAUGACUGAUAGUUGAUAUUUUACUUAUUUCGGUUGGUUAAUUAACGUUGAUCCCUAUAAUAUUCCAUCUCUCGAGUUUCAUUAGGUUAAUUGGGAUGUAGGAUGGCUGCUGCUGGUGCAUUGAAUUCUACAUGAAACAUUCUUGAAAAUUAUUGCUAUCACUUGCAAUUUUUUUUUUUUUUUUACAAAUUGUGAUUGGUAAGACUUGUUCUUUUUAUUGUCAAUUUAGGUGAAACUUAUGUUACAGUUUUGGGCUUUCAAUUGUAUGUUUGGAUCUUUGGAUUCUGUCUUCUGAAUAAUUUUACCCUCUGCUCUGUCAAACUUUAUUAUCUAUUUAUUUGCUAAAACUAAAAAUCCCCUACUUAUUUUGGUAAUAUGGAUGCUGAUAUUUUUCAUUGCUAGCUUUCUACCUGAUAUGAUCAAUGUUGAACAUAUGGGCGUUUCUCCACCAGAAACAAAGAGCGAAAAAGGAAACCAUUUUGCCCCUGAAGAGACAACAGCAGAGCAGGCCCAUGAAUUAGGUAGUGAAUAUUUACAUACUGAACUUUCUAAAAAUAAACAUCCAUGUGGUUAUGCAAUAACUCGAAACGAAUCAGCUGAAACUGCCACUGGUGUGUCUUUCUCUGACAUUCACGAAUCAUCUUCUGGAUAUGUGGAUAAGAAGUCUCCACCUGAACAUUUGGGUUUGCUUCCUAAGUAUGCGAGUGAGCAUAACCCUCCCGAUAAUAGUUUUUGUCAUCAAGAAACCGUAUCAGGGAUGACACAUGAGUAUGGUUCUGGAUAUGUGCAUGAGACAUCAGAAAAGAAGCAUCAGCCUGGUUCUGAUAUUGUUCAAAAUAAUCUUGAAGAAGCAUGCACUUUGGUUUGUGGCCUUCCUGCUGAACAUUUGCGACCAUGUUCUGAAGAUUUUUCCAAGAAUGCUCGCACUGAAAGUUUAUGGGUGUUGCCUGAAGAUUCAAGCAAGUGCACCCAGAUUGAUCAACUUUCAUGUCCGCAACUAGGUAGUGUGGAACCAACAGCUGCCUUUGGUUCUAUAAAUACAUGUAAGGAACUUGGUGAACCAACAGAGCAGCAACAACAGCUUGGUUCUGAAAGUUUAUCAAAUGGUAUAGGAAAAAGUCCUACUGCUACAUCUAGUAAUGCUUUUUAUCAAGCCUUGGAAUUGUAUCCUGAAGUUAUGAACCAGAGUAAUUGUGGCGAACGUUUUCAAUCACCUUCUGAAGGUGCUAGCAUUGUUUCUCAGACUGGAAAGAGUUAUCUUGUUGACCCUUUAGGAUUGCCUCCAGGAUUUGAAUCUGGAAAUUCUUGUGUUCAACAACCAAGGCUCCAUUCUGAAGACAUGGCUCAAAGUUCUGGUGUAGAACAGCAUGAAGCAACGCCUAAGAAUUUACUUGAGAAUUCUGUCCGAGGCAGGGAUGGAGAAUCUUCAAAAACAAGGAAAAAGUAUACGCCAAGACCUUUGACAAGCAGUGACAGGGUCUUGCGUUCAAAAUCGCAAGAGAAGUCUAAAGCUAGUGAGUUGAGCAAUAAUAUCACUGAUAUUGGCUCUAGUGAGCAGCAAAAAGGGAGGAACAGGAAUAAAAUGAUUGAAAAAAGAGAAGUUUCUGAUGAAUAUUCAAGAAUCAGGUCACAUCUUAGGUAUUUAGUGAAUCGAAUAAACUAUGAACGAAGCCUGAUUGCAGCAUAUUCGACAGAAGGCUGGAAGGGACUAAGGUUUGUUUAAUUUACUGUUUUAUCUUGUUUGUUGUUGCUACAAUAUUUUGUUUAUGAGCUGAUUCUUAUAGCAAUGGUACAAAAUGUUUCUGCCUUGAUCUUAAGUCUAUCAUGUCAUAGAUUAUAGAAUUGCCAAAGGGAGGUCAAAGAAAAGAAUACAAAUUUAACCAUCUAAAUACUACCAAAAACUUGUACUGCCUUAAGAAUAGAUCGUCUAAUACCAAUUUCAAACUUAAUGGAAUGGUUAUAAAAGCGUGGCAUUGAAUCUUCAUCAUCAUGAACAAAAUUAGUCUCUAGGAUCAGGGCCUGUAUACUUAUUAUAGCUUCUACAAGCUUUCUUGUUGUUUCUCACUAGUGCCUUCCUCAUAUUGUCAUUUUUUCUCUCAUAUUGUUUUCACCAUCAGUGUAAUUGGUGCAGUAUGUAUUUCAUUUUUGUGGUUGUAUCUGUGCUAUUAUGUAUUAUAGAGAUGACAACUUAUAAAGAUCCUCAAAUACUUUGCAGUUUCCCAGAUAGGAAAAAGUAUUUGAAAAUUGUGUAAUUUUAAUAGUAAAAGGAACUGUUUACAUGAUUAUAGUGCUAAAGAUUGAUUUCCCAAAAAGAUAUCAUAAAUUUAUAACCCAAAUCAGGUAGUAUAGAUUUAUAACUUCAAUUGUCUUUGUGUAUUAACUGUUGAGAUUUGAAGAAUAAAUUCAGCAUUAAUCUGCAGAGAGUAGGUUGCUUUGGACUGAAAUUGAUACUGAUACUUCACAUCUGUCAUCAACCUGAUUGUCCAUUUCCCUAUGGAUAGCUAACAUCUGUUUGUUGCUUUGGACUGUUUGUGUAACCUGCAGCUUAGAAAAGUUAAAGCCAGAGAAGGAGCUUCAACGUGCUACAUCUGAAAUUCUUCGACGCAAAUUGAAAAUUAGAGACCUAUUUCAACGUAUCGAUUCAUUAUGUGCUGAAGGAAGGCUACCAGAAUCUUUGUUUGAUUCUAAAGGAGAAAUUGACAGUGAGGAUGUAGGAGAAUCAUAGUUACAAGCAUUGCUUGUAUUUUCUUAAUUGCUAUUUUCUUAUUGAUGAUAAUAAUUUGUCUUGGAAUUGGAAAUGCUUAGACAUGAAAUCCUUGAAUUGCAGAUAUUCUGUGCAAAAUGUGGGUCUAAGGACCUGUCUGCCAACAAUGAUAUCAUACUCUGUGAUGGUGUUUGUGACCGUGGAUUCCAUCAAUAUUGCCUGCAACCGCCUUUGUUAAAAGAAGACAGUAAUACUCUCCAUUGCCUGAUUUAGACUAAUGAAUUGGUAGUGGGUUUUGAAAUUUUUUUCUUAUCAUUAAUGCUUUUUCUUUUUCUACCUAUUCCCCUUUUGCCACAGUUCCUCCCGGUGAUGAGGGUUGGUUAUGCCCCGGAUGCUAUUGCAAACUCUUUUGUAUCGAACUGGUUAAUGAAUCUCAAGGAACAAGUUUUUGUCUUGCUGACAGUUGGGAGGUUGAUAACAGAUUUUCUUUCUUUUUAUUAGUUAUUACUUACCCAUGCACGCAUGUGCGCCCGCACACAUAUAUCUAUUUUAAGUCCUUACCAUGUUCCUUCCUAUCAACAGAAGGUCUUUCCUGAAGCAGUAGUAGCUGCAGGUGGACAAAAUCAGGAUCCUAACUUAGAACUACCAUCAGAUGAUUCUGAUGAUAGUGAUUAUAAUGCCGAGAAUUCAGAACCUGAUGAGAAGGAUCAAGGAGAUGAGUCAAGUUCUGAUGAAUCUGAUUUCACUUGUUCAUCUGAGGAAUUGGAAGUACCGCGUAAUGUUGAUCCAUGUUUAGGGCUUCUGUCUGAUGACUCGGAGGAUGAUAAUUAUGAUCCUGAUGGUCCAGAUCAUGAUAAUGUGGCUGAGCCCGAAAGUUCAACUUCAGAUUUUACAUCUGAUUCUGAGGAUCUUGGUGCUAUGUUAAAAGAUAAUAGUUCUUCCCCAAAAGAUGGACCUGUGUCUAACAUUGGUUCCACAGAUUCCAAAGGACAAAAACCUAAACUUGGCGGAAAUGAGUCCCGGAGUGAUAAACCGUCAUCAAUAAUGGAUUCAGCUUCUGGACAAGAUGGUACUGCUGUUUCUAAGAAACGAAGCAGCGAAAAGUUGGACUACAAAAAGUUAUAUGAUGUGAGUGUCAUUUCAAAAUAAAGUAUUAUCUUAGACAUGGUUACCUCUCCUGGCAUAUUUUUCAAUUCUCCGUUUUUCAAUUUCACCAUUUAGAGAACUUGCCAAGAUCCAAUGCUAUAGUAGUUCAUGUAACUUUUUUGACAGUUCAGUCAUUUAAAAAUGUUUUGGUCGUUCCUUCUUGGUUUGCUCAUUUUCUUUUGGGUAUUCACAGGAGACAUAUGUCAAUUUUCCUUCUAGUUCAAGUGAUGAUGAAGAUUGGAGUGAUACCAUUGCACCAAGAAAAAGGAAGAGACAUGCCGCAGGAGCCUCUUCAGCACCAGAAAAUGGAAAUGCUUCUUCAAGUAGGAGUGUGUCAAUUUCCGAAGGUUCAAAGCUGAAUCCAGAGCAUAAACUGAGGAGAAACAUGCGCCAGAACUCAAAUUUUAAGGAUACAAAUUUAUCCCCUGCUGAAUCAAAGGGUGGCACUUCCGUAUCGGGUUCAAGUGGUAAAAAAGCAGGUUCAUCAACACAUAGAAGACUCGGAGAAACUGAAAAGCAGGUAUACAGGGUGUCUUAUACGACUGAUAAAUGACUCGGAACGAAAACCAAACAUUUGUAUAAUCAAAGCUUUUUUGCUUGUGAAAAAGUAGUGAUCAACUUUAUUAAUACUUCGAAUCUUUGUCUUCUAAAAAUGUAGUGAUUUAAUUUGGGUGGAUAUUUUGGUGUGCAGAGGCUUUGUGAAUCGUUCAGGGAAAAUCAGUAUCCUGAUCGAGCCACGAAAGAGAGAUUAGGUAAAGAUCUCGAUAUGACUUUCCGGCAGGUAUUACCUCUCUCUACUUGCAAUGCAACUAAAUGCCAUAUUUUCUCAACUAUCUCAUUUUCUUUUCUUGAGAAUCUUCAACAACUUAAUGUUGUUGGUUUAAUUUCGGGGUUCUUAUUCGUGAAGGUCAGCAAAUGGUUUGAAAAUGCUCGUUGGAGCUUCAAUCAUCCAACAUCUAAUCAGGAAACCACAGCUAAAAGAGUUGCAGAAAAUGCCAUAACCUCUGUUGUUCCGAAGAAAAACUGAAUGAUCGGCAUCGUAGAGAGGGAGAAAGAGAGAAAUCAAAAUUGGUGAAAUGGAGAGGUAUUGAGGCAGUUGAUUUAUAUAGCUUUAAAUUUAAUGAACAUUAUUGGAUAGGAAUAGAAGGAACUUUGUUGCUCGAGGAAAAUUUGCAGUGAAAUGAAGUUGUGACCCUUAUCCAAAUAGAUAUUUAAAUGCUUUAUUUUUUAAAAUCUCUGUUUUAAUUAUUUUUUUAUAUAGGUUUCUUUUUCAGGAUUUUUUUUAAAGAAUGAAUGAAUGUAAAUAGGGGUGGGCAUUUGAUCAGACGAGUGAAAAGUUUCAUGUUAAUUAAGUUAAAUUUUAUUUUACCAUUCUAACUCGAUCUGAGUUAAAUUAAAAAAUUAAACAUGUUAAAUUAAAAUAUUAUUACAGUAUAACUAAUUUCAUGUUAGACGAUAUAAAUUUGAAAAUUUUUUUUAAAGCAAAAUAAUAAUAAAAAAUACUUUGGUAUGAUAAACUUGAAUCACUAAUUAACCUGUUUAGGUCCUAAAAUUAUUAUUUUAAAAAUUUUAGAAAUUUUUAACUUUAUAUAUUCUUUAGUUUUUUUUAAAAAAAAUUUAUAAUUUUUUUAAAAAAUAAAUUUUAGAAUUUUUAUAAAUAUUUAGAUUUUUAAAAAUUAUUUUAAAUUUUUUAAAAUUGUUUUAACUUUUUUUUGUAAUUUUUGUGGAGAGAUCAACUUGUUCAUUUUUAAAAUUAACAAAAAUCAAAAAAUACUUACACCCCAAUCUGUCAUUUGAAUUAUUCAAAAUCGAGUUCAUCGAUUUGAUAUAGAUUAUACAUAUCAAAUUAAACUUUUUCCUACUCCUGUAUCAGGUAAAGUCCUGAAGAAUAGACCACAACUUGGAACUUAGAUUCAAAUUGAUGGUUCUUCAAUUGCAAUGCAAACGCGUCGGUCAAAUAGGUCAUGCCGCAAGAACAGCCUUUGCUCAUUUGAGCCACCCAUGCGAUGAGAGAAGUAUCAAAACCGAAAAGGCAUAAUUCACUAUGUGCAUGUAAAACGUAAAAACCAUAAGCACAAUAAUUACAAAACAAAAUAUUAUGUUAAAGCUAUCAAUAACAUGCAGUCAAGCAUCACAAACCAAAGGAAUUGAUGAUCAAUUGGAGCAAAAAUCUAAAUGUGCUUAACAAGGUGAUCAUAUAAGAGAAUUACAGGUAUCUUCCUUACAGUAUCGUAAAUAGAAAACGUCCUUUUUUUAUUGAGAUUUUUCUAAUCAGACGACUUAAGCCUCUGGUUCCCCACGGUAACAAACUAAUCUUCGACAUCCAAUUGCACUCUGCUGUGCUCAUCCAUGGCCUUUCAAGUACCUGCAAUGAAAAUUCGUGAAGUUAUCUUCACAAGGUUCUCGAUCAUUUUGGAUAGAGCUGUUUAGCCACAGCUUGCUUCAUUGAAUUUAUUUGAUGUGAACAAAUGUUAUUAGACCAAAAAUCAUAAUUCAAGAUUGAAUUUUACUUGCAUGCAAGAAACAUAAAGCACAAAUCUUAGAAACUCAAAGUCUGAGAAAAAUACCCACAAACAAAGGAACAAAACUAUAGGAAGGUUCCCGAUAGUUGCAAUAAGCUAGCAAAGUGCUUUAAGUGAUCACCUUAAGCAAAAUCGCAAGAAAAACAGUCACCCUAGCAUGGCAUUGUUGUUCUAAUUAUCGAGUUUCAGGGAGUAGUGCAUUCAAUGAGAGUAUGAAUUCUUAAUGAACUGGAUAUCUAAUAUUGAGGUCCGAGAACAAGGGCACUAAAUACCAUUGACGGUAUGCAACAUUGACAAGAUGUUCCGUUGACAACAAUCCAACCAUUUCCAACAUUUGACAGUAUGCAAUACAAAAAUGACAUUCGGUUUAACUACAAGGUACUAAACCACCAGUAUGAAUUUCUACAGCAUACUAAAGAUCAAAUAUUUGAACAGCUAAAGUGAAACAAGGAACGGCUCCAAUUCUUCAUUUGUUUCAAAGAAUCUGUGUUUGACACAUUCAAACAUGGUAUGAGAAUUCAUCCUCUAAAUAUAAGAAAAAAUUUAGCAUAGCCGUGUUAGUAUCUGAUACCAACCGCUUGAGUCUAACAUGGGUAAAGACUUACUCUUUUAUUGUAGUUCAACACAAAGAAAAAAGUUUGGUGCAAUAAUAAAAAGAUUACAUAUAUAUAAAUAUAUCUAGUAAUGAUAAGCAAGAAAACAUGACUUAAAUCUGAGAACAGUAGCAUCACCAAGAAGAAUUAAAAGGGAAAUGACCAUAUCUAGAUCACUACUCGUGUUGAGGAUCAUAGUUAUUAAAUAGCAUUUUAUAAUGAUUUAUUUGACAAGGAAAUGCUAGGUCUUUAGACCCAUUUCUUUUCUCAUAUAGCCUAUGACAACAGCAGCAUAGAAUGACCAACAUAUUAGAGCUAGUUAUUAAGAGCAAAAAGAGAAAAAAAGAGAGAGGUUAAAACAUGUCAAGCAUAGGAGCAGUUAAAUCCAUGUGCCUUAGCUUAUAUCCAAGGGUUUAUUUUCUAUUUACUCUAUAUGAAUUAUUGAUUAAGCACAUUUGUCUAUAAUUUCAUAAUAAAAGGUAAAAUAAAAAUAAGAAAAAUAUAAACCUACAAUGUGGUACAAUUCUCUCUCCUUUAGCUGAUUGAAAGUCCACGUGCAUCACCCAUCUUUUCCAUUCCUCCCUAUAAAUCUCAAUCCCAUUUCCUUCUCAUUAACUGAAUUUAAAGAACUCAACUAACAAAUUCACCUAAUUUAUGCUUGUUUAGGUAAAUUUAACACAAAAGAUAUAAAGCAACUACAAAGAAAAGCAAAUGUUUUUCUUUUGUCCUAACAAUGGCAUUCAUUAUAAAGCAAUUAUCAAAAAAUGGAAAAAAAUUGAAGUUAUUCAAGGUUCAAGAGAUGUGAAUAACAAACUUCCUUUUCCUUUUCAUGUACCCUAGAAAUAGUAAGACUCACAAAGAGACUACUAGCGAUCCUGACAAGUACGGCAGAAGGUACCGUGAGACAGCUCGCAACAAGCCCGCACGUUAACAGUCAGGUGUGAAGUGAGACAAGCCGUAGGAACCAUGCUAUGCAGAGGCAAGAACGAUUGGACACAUCCCAAUUCUCCCAAAUUUCUGAAACAAACAUAAGGCUAGCCAAAAUCAAUUUUGACAUCCAAGCUUCCUUUUGUCAAUGGGAAAAUGUCAGCAAACUAUGAAACUCUUUUUCAUACAAAAUAGUCUCUUGUAUGAUUCUCACUAAUCCAUACCGCCUUAGAAAUUUAAGAACCUAUUUAAUCUUGGGAAAUUUUAAGGCAAAAGGCAAGAAUAUUUUAGCUUCCCUUACUUGAAAACAGAGAAAAUAGUAACUCUACUUUAAUCUAGUUUUCAGAUUUAAAAAAGAAAAUCCAAUUGUUAACAUCAUUAAAAUGAUUCCAUUAAGUUUAGGUUGCAAAGUUUUUUUUUUUGGUUAUAUGAAUACCAAGCAAGUUUUUUUUUUUAAUUUCAAAAUGUCACACAAUGGAAUUUAACAGAAACAUUUUAAUUGUUUUGACAAUUGGACUUCAAUUUUGAAAUCUGAAAAGUAGAGAUACUAAAUUCCAAAUGUACAAAAGGUACAGGGACUUGGAGCAUAACCUAAUUGAAUAUAACAAGACUAAAGUCAUCAGUAAAAUUACUUUGCUAAAUCCCAAAUAAUGAAGAUUGUAAAUAAUUUCAAAAACACAUCAUGAAUUGGAUAUCGCAGUCUAUAAAUCUCCACUAACAGACAUUUCUAAUAAUUUAUAGUAAAAAAAAGAAGAAAAGUAAACAAUGUUGACUGGAAAAUAAGCAAUUUCGCGUUUCUUAUCUUUUGUUUCAUCCACUAAGGAGUCAAAAGAGGUGUUUAAAACAAUGACCUGGAAGGAGCAUAAGAGAGGCGGCGGGACUGGAGGCGAGGAGCAGAGGAAACCGAGGGACGUAGCCGGGGUAGCGGUGGAGGGGAGCGGAGUGAAGGAGCCCUCGCGGCAGAGAUGACAGAGCGAGACAAGGAUCCUGCACUUCGCCAAGCCAUUUUCACAGUGAAGAUCGAAGCGUUUCACUAAGAGAGAAGCUGAAUAAAGUAGUGAUUUGCGUAAAGGUUUUGGUUAGGGUUUAAGGGGUGUGCCUGUAUCCAUGAUUCGGGUCGGAUCCUUUUCGGAUGGGUCUAUGAUGUAGUCUUUUAAGCCCGGCCCAUUCAGAAAUAUGUGUUAUAGAGUUUAACUAAACUUAUUUUAAAAUAUGCUAUUUUUUAAUAUUUGGUAAUUUUAUUUACUAAAAUUUUAAAAUACAUUAAAAUUUUCAAAAUUUACAGUAUAGUAUUAUAUUUUUAAUUUUCAUGUAAUAUAAAUUAUAUAAUAUAUAAAAUAAAAAAUAUUAUUAUAAACCAAAGACAAACCUAUUAUCUAAUGGGUUUAAUUCUUUUUCUAUACACUUUCUGCUUUUUUUUUUAUAUAAAUCGAAUCCACGGUCUCAUGUACUGAUAAUAAUAUCAAUACCAAUCGAGCUAACACUCAAUCGAUUUUUUUAUACUAUUUUUUAGUAUAUUAAAAUUUUCUAAAUCUUGUCAAAUAUUAAAUUAAUUAACAAAUAUAUUAAAUUAAUAAAGGAGCUUAGAUGCAUAAUGUGACUCUUAAACAAAAUUAUUGAAAAAUUAAAGAGAAUCUUGUGAACAACCCAAGGCUUAAAUUACUUAGGCCCAAAUCUACUAGCAUAUGUUAGCCAUUGUAGGAAUCUCCCAGCCAUAGUGUGCUAAACAUUAGUUCUUUGUAUAUGAGGACAUGGGUUCCAAUAUUUGGCGGAGAAAGUGUAGCCAUGGAUGGAUUUGCAUUUUGCAUAUUAAUAAUCUAUUGAGAAAAGUCAUAAAAAUACAACUCAUUAGCUAUUUCAUUCGUUACAUCUACGAUAACAAUAAAUAAUAAUAUAAAAGAAAAAUUCAAAUUUAAAUCUUAAAAAUCAAAGUUUAAAGGUUAAAUUUUAGUAAUCAUACAUAAAAAUAUGAUAUGAUGCAAUUGUGCAAGCUAAGGAAGACCUCUACUAUAAAUUAGUUCUUUAUUACAUCAAAUUGUAAAUAAAGAAAGGGAUUUGGAUGGACGGUUGCAUUUAGUUUAUUUUUUGUUUUGUAAUACAGUAUUGUUACAAUAUCUAAUCUUAUUAGGGUAAACUACAAAAAUAGUCAUCACUUUUGUUUGUCUCAGAUUACAUUUUAGUCACUUAUGUUUGAAAUGUUACGUUUUAGUCACUUACGUUAUCACUUUGUUACGAAGUAAUCACUCUACCGUUAAACUUCAUUACCUCCCUAACGUUAGUCUUAUGUGGCAAUCUAAAUGGGUUUUAAAUGUCAACUUGGAUGUCCAUUUGCUAGGAUGAAAAUAAGUUUUUAAUUAAAUAAAUUUAAUUUGGACUGUCAUGUAGAACAUUCAAGUUGGCAUUUAAAACCCAUUUAGACUACCACAUAGAACUGUUGUUAGGGAGGUAAAAAGCUUAACGGUAGAGUGACCGCUUCGUAAUAAAAUGAUAACGUAAGUGACUAAAACGUAACAUUUCAAACAUAAGUGACUAAAAUGUAAUAUGAGGUAAACAAAAGUGACUAUUUUUAUAAUUUACUCAUCUUAUUAUUACCGCUAUUUUUACAUUAAUAAAAAAUGAACCGAAACGUUGACUAUAAUUUUUACAAGCUUUUAAGAUCUCUAUUUUAUUUUUCGGGCGGGAUUAAUGGCAAAUCAACUUCAUCACACCAUUCAACACACCUUGUUUCCACAUAAGAACUCCUCACAUUAUUAGGCCAAUAACUCAACCAAACUUCACCUCCAAUUCUCCAUUUCAAAACACUCCCUUCCAUGUCCCUGUUCAAUCUCCAUCCUACACCUUCUCCAUAAUCAUCUCCUGCAAAUACCAAUCCACCAGCUUUGGUAAAUGGCCUGUUAGCUCCAUAGUACCUAUGCUGGAAACCAUGGCUGCUGCCGUUGCUAUUUUGAUAGAGCGAUUUCCACGUUGCGAUUUCUUGGCCCGUCACGUUGUCGCAUAGCACCGCGUCGAACACCGCGGCGUUCCCUUCCGCGUCUUGAUCCCACCUCCAGUUCUUCAUCUUGUUCUUCAUGGAAACCCUUGCUCUUGCUUUAACAUGGGAGGAAUCCUUUGAAUAUUUCCCGAAACUCCCUUUAAGGAUCCUUUGUGUUUCGACUUCGUUUUCACCAUUGUUCGUGGACCGACCCAAGGUUAACCCGGACACGUACGUUGACCCGACUUCCGGUCCGACCCAAACUCGGAUCCUCGACGGGAAGUGUUUCUCGUUCAAGAAAUCAUCCAUGUCGUCGUUUUUUUUGCUGAACCCUAGUCUAGCCACGUGGAAGCGUAAGUUAUCCACACGUGCGUUCACUUGAAUGUACCCAUCAUGGAAUCCAAUGGUGUAUUCCAAUUGAAUGACGGCCUCGAGCUGCUGGUGUGCUAGUGCGUACCUUAACAGUGAACCCUUUGCUCCGGUGGCCGGAAAUUGGCUUUUCUGAUCACUUGAAUGUAAUAGCUUCAUUGCAUUAACCGGUGCAUACCCUUUCAAGGUCCAAUAUCCAUGAGCCUCGGUUGCAUAUGAAAAUCCCAAAUGCUGCUGCUGCCCUUUUAAAGGAGUUAUUAGCGUUUUUAAUCCGACGCUGAGUUCACUUAAAAUGAUCCAUUUGGUCAACAUGUACCCCAAGGUUCGCAUGAAACACAGCUCGGUGUCGACACCAGUGGAGACCAGAAAGGUCCUCAGCACGGGGACUUGUUUAAACGUUAAGGCUUCGAUGUUUGGACCUAGUAAGUACUGGAAAUAGAAAGACCCGAUUUCACUAGGAGCAUCCCAAGAACAUAGCCAAAACAAGCGUGUGAGAAGGACAAGGUUAAAGAAACUCGAGAAUGACUCGGGUGAGUGAGACUCAAUGAUCCAAGAAAUCGGUUCGGGUUUGAGUUUUUGAAGCUGAGACCUCGGGCAAAUGGUGUUGGGCAUUGCUGGUGAACGGCUGAUGGUUUCUUGGAGAAGCUGAAGUACUAAAGCGAGGAAAGGUUGCUCUGAAGAUAGAGGACAGGGGUCAGAGACCCAAAGAGGUGAAGAUUGGAACCCUUCAAAGCUUAUUGUGAAGGUUAUACAGACCUCUGAAUCGGACCCCAUGGUACGCUCAGCUUUGAGUUGGAUCGAACGAGUUGAGCUUGAGUCGCCUUCCUCGGAACUCGCCAUUGUAAAGGCGAGUGGUGGGUGUGGGUCUGAUUCACCCCAAUCGUCAUUGUUAGGAAGCUCACAUAUCCAAGACCAAAUGUCCAUCAUGUUUGCUUGGUGGGUUUCAGCCUUUGAGGGGAUAUCAAAAGAUUGGAGACCUAUUGUUUCGUUUUAUAGAGAAAGAUUCACGAUGUUGUUAGGAAUCGGGUAAAUUGCACUUGAAGUCCCUUAUGGUCUAGAUUUUAAAUUGUUUGCUAAAUUUCAAAUGUUUUAAUUGAGUCCCCAAAAUAUUAGAUCAUAUCAAUCAAAUUCUUCCAUAAGUCUAUUGUCAUAUUAGAUGUUAAAUUCUAAAUACAUAUAGACUUGCUGCAUAAAUAGUUUGGAUAUAACGUUUAGAAAAGAAAAAAAAAGUGUAUUUAAAAUUUGGGAGGGUUAUUUUUCUUUAACAUGGUAGAUCAUGCGGCUAAGUAUUAUAUUUAAAGUUUAAUUUAUGUGUUUUAAAUAUACUUCACGUGUGGAGAAAUCAAGAAUUAUGUGAUGAGAACCGAGAUAAAAUAAAAAAACUUUGGGGCAUAACUAAAGUAAUUUGUAUUGAAAUGACUUAAAUUGAAUUUUAAACUUUUGAUAAGAGUAAAAAAUGCAAAUUAUUUUUAUUUAAUAAAGAUGCUAAAAGAGAUUAACAAUUGGAAGAACUAAGGUUGCAAAUGCACCAUUCAGCCUAAGGCCCUUGCCUCCACCUUAGAGUAACAUCUAGGCUGACAAGAAGACCUUAUUGCACCUUAAAAUUUUAAGGAAAGAAUGAGUGAUGGUAGAUUCGCCAACUUGCAAGUAAACGUAAGCCAUGAAAAUCACCAAUGAAAGAACUGCCUGGAAUUAAACUGGUGGUGCUAAGUUGUUUGGUCGUUAUGUCUUAUUUAAUACUAGUAUACUAGAGCGCUGAUUUUUCAUUCACUCCCUUUCAUUUAUUUCAAUUUCUGGCUUUUGGCGGCCUGAUAAGGAAAGCAAUGGUGAUUUUGCAUGGACAAUACGUUGCAGAUCCCGACGCCGUCGUUUAACGUUUUAUGGAUGUAUCGACCUAGACGUGUCAUGUUCAGAGGCGGAACUGGACAAGUUUACAUGUCUGAACUUGAAUCACACAAAAAAGAAAAAAAAAAUCUGGGGUCGUUUAAUGUCUGUUCUUUCUUAUCCUAUCAAUGCUCGUGAAUAUCUUUGAGAAUCAUAGGUUAACAACAAGUGAUUGAAACCCCAGCAACGAAAUGAAAACAUAACCAAUACAUACAAACACGUAAUAAGGCCAUGUAGGCCACCCUGGCCAUGCAUUUAGUUUGUUUUGUAUCCCCAUGGUCUUCUUCUCUAGUGAGAGCAAUGUCUGAGUGGUCCUUUAACCUGGAUGACCCCCACAAGCUGUCACCAUUUUUUCAAUGAGUAAAUUUAUGUAGGGGAUCCCUCUAGGCUUUACCAUAAAGGAUGUUUUUCCUUAUAAGUAAUAUUUCUUUCCCAACAUUUCUCCAAUAAGCAAAUUUGUUGGGUUGGAUAAAGCUUCCAUUCUCGCUUGCCUAGUAGAGGUUGGUUUACCCCACUCUUUCUUUUAAAACAUAGACCACCUCUGGUUUUACGGACACAUAGUUUGUCCCAACUCUUGAGUUGAAGUAUCCAUUUUAUCAUAGAUAGUGUUAGAAACGAGAUAGGUGAUAAAUUAAGAUUUUUAUUAUCUCGAGAUUGAAUUAUAAAUUUUUUGAGAAUGGGUAAGGAUUUAUUUACCCUAAUUAAAUUUCAUGUCUUAAAAAAAAAAAACUCAAUCAGCCCAACUCAGAUUGUCCAGUCCAAAUAAAAAAAAUGAAUUAAAAAAAAGAGAUAAAGAUCAAAAUUAUACAUGAACUUUGAUUCAAUUUGUAAUAUCAUAUAUGAACUUUGAUUUGUGUGAUUUUAUAUAUGAAAUUUUGGUUUCAUAUCACUGACAACAUUAUCAAAUUAGUACUAUUUUAUGCUGAUAUAUUGCAUACACAAACAAUUAUAUUAAUCCAAUAUGAAAAUAAAAGUAUGCAUUCAUUUCUUUAAAUGUGCACAGUUGAAUCAAAAUCAAAUUUUUAUUUAUACAUAUAAACAAAAAUUCAACAAUUGAAAGAGAUCUCUUUGAGUAAUUGAAAUUGAAAAAAAAAUGGAGGUUAAUGUGGAUUCUCUCAGGAGCUUUGGACGGUCGGGGUUGCCGUUGCCGGUGGACCUUGAAAAAGCCACUAAUAGGGUAAAAAAUAGAGAGGAUAUAGUAGAGGUAAAGAAGAUGGAACAAGAGAUUUGAAAGCUACUGUCAAAGAGAAGCUCACGAGCAACUCAAAGGAAUCUGAUGCAGCGGAAAAUGGUGAAGAGAAUGGUGAGAUCUCUCUUCUUGAAGAUGAUGUUCAGGUUUCAAUGAAGGGCCAAUAUCUUGAGAUCAAUUUCUCUAAACGGGUUUAUGAGUUGACUAAACGGAGUAUGAGUCUGACUAUUAUUGUAACAUCCCUCACUCGUCUCUGUCAUCGGAUUAGGGUUAUGCGAUGCUACAAUGCAUAACAAAAUAGAAUUAUGCUAUAUCAAUUCAAAUUUUCUCUAAACAAUAAUCAUUCAUCAAUCAUAUAAUUAAAAACAUGUCAUUCAUACAUUAUCGGGGUUAAAUCGAGCUUAAGAAAGCUCUAAAAUAAUUUUAGAACAAAACAAGGAUUAAUUUGAAACAUUUUAAAAAAGUGUGACAAAAAUACAAAAUAGGAGUCACACAGCCGUGUGACAGGUUGAGGCCGUAUGGAGUUGAACCACACAGUUGUGUCCCCAAACCGUGUAAUAGACUGAGGCCGUGUAAUCUAGAGUCACUUUUUGAGAGGAUUGACAAGAGGAAGUUGAAUAUGUUAAAUUAUAUUAGGGGAAUUGAAAGGUGUCUUUAGGAGAAUUCCUCUCCUUUCCUCUUGGAUCUUGCUAACAAAUUGAAAGGUGAGCUUGACGAGGUUCUUGCUCAAAAGGAGAGCCUCUGGUAUCAAAAGUCUAGAAUUAAGUGGAUUGUAGAGGGUAACAGGAACACAAAGUUUUUUUCAUAUUAGUACCUUUAACAAAGGAGAGUGAACUUUAUUAAAGCCCUUAAAGUUGAUAAUGGUAUUUGGUGUGAUGAUCAGAGAUACUAGCAAGAGAAAGUGGUUCAGUUUAAAGUUUGUUUGCGAAAGACCCUCAGAUGCAUGAGUGGAUUUCCGUUAACUGGGUACUUUUAUAGGUUUAAUGAUGGUGAACUUAUGGAUCUUUGCAGGCCGGUUUUGGAUAAAGAUGUGAGGAAUGCGGUGUUUGAAGUGAUGCCUUCUAAACUUCCCUUUACCUAAUUGAGAAUAUGCGAUAAGAGUUAUAUGGUUUGAAGGCACAAAACCUCUCUCUUGCGGGUAGAAUUACAAUGGCCAAAGCUGUUUUAGCGAUUAUACCAAUUUAUGUGAUGCAGUCGAUGGUGGUUCAAAAAGGUAUUUGUUUGGGAAUGGAAAGUAAAAUGAUUCGGAAUUUUAUAUAGAAGAGAAAAAUUAGUCUUGUCAAUUGGAAAGAGAUAUGUCUACCCAUUGAGUAGGAGAUUUGGGGGUUUAAAAAGAAGUUUCAAAAUGGUGCUUUUCUUAAGAAGUUGAGGUAUAAUUUAAUGAGAAAGGAUUAUAUGAAACCGUGAUUCCAUAUCAUCUCUAUCCCUUUCCAAUAGAAGACUGAUAAAUUAGAUUUUUUCUCUUGAUUUUUAGCAGUUUUAGUUGGAUUUAAAUUUUUUCAUGAGAAAAAAGUUGAAAAUCAGAAGGAAAAAUAUGAUUUGUCAUUCUCCUAUUGGAAAGGAAUAAUGAUGAUGUGGAAUCACAGUUUCAUACAAUCCCUUCCCAUAAUUUAAUAAAUCAGUCGGAUCAAUUGUGGGUUCAAGUGAUGCGCACAAAAUCUAUGUACGAAGUCAUGGCCUCCACUUUGGAGAGGGAUUGCAAAUGUUUGAGACGUGACCCCUUAAUCAAUCAAAGUUAGAAGCCAGACCAGAUUCUUGUUCAAAUAGUUAAAGUCAAUUGGGUCACGUAGUCUACUUAGUCCAUAAACACUUCUACUUCUCACUAAUCACCAUGUCGUGCCUACUUUGGUUUCGCGUUUCUGUAAAAUAUAUACAUGAAUCGUUUCCGGAUUAUAACUAGAACCUCCUUUUCUCUGGACCCAUCUCACAUCGAUGACUCAACCCCUCCUACCUAUAGGUAAUUUUAGACAAGUUUCCUUUGAAGUGGAUACUUGAAUCCCAAGUAUGAUCCGUAAUAAUCUAUCUUCUGGAGUAUACGAUGAUUCUUUCGCCACCUAAGGCGUUAAUUUAUCUACUAAAAUAUCGCCCAUCUCCACCCAAGAUCCCAGCAUCACAAUUUUAUUUUUGUCUAAAUUGCAGAGUAAAUGGGCUUCUAGGUGCGGUAUUUCAUUAGUGAUUCUUUCAGGACCUUAACUUAUCAUAUGAGUCUGAAUUUCAUAUUUUUCGUAUGUGAAAAGAAGUAUAAAUAUCUUCAUAUACUAAAUGCUAGCUCCUGUAAAAAUUUGAAGCUACAAUUAAAUGUUGCAAUUCUUUUCUAAGUUUAGCCAUAUAUUAUUAUCUAAUACAACUUUAAUCACCAUUUACAAAUAUGAUCACUUUGCUAAUUUAUGGAUGAGUCCUACACAUUUAAAUGAUGAUAAUUAGUGUAUUGAAAUAAAAAAAAGAAAAGAAAAACGAUUUUCACACCCAUCCACUUUAGACCGAGAAAGAAUUCCCCUUGAAAAAAAGGGUUCACAUAUAUAGCUUUACAUUUGGAUGAUCUCGUUUACAUUUGUGAGAGAUUUUGGACUAAAUCUGAAUGGGAUGUUUCGAACGAGGAUUAGGUGACAAAUUCGACCUUUUACGUCCCUCACCAUAAAGUUCCAACACUUGAAUUUGUCAAAAAAGUGAUUAUUCUCUCCUACAUGUUUAAACCCCAUUUUUUAAUAUUUUAUUUGUUGAUUUUAGAUGUUUGAAUGUUUUUGAGUAAGGAAGUGGAGGCGAAAUGAGCAAAGUCCAUCACGAUAAAGCCGAAAGAGUUGAUUUAAAGGACCAAAUUAUUAAUCUUCAAAAAGAAAAAAGCAAUUCAACACUAAAAUAAUAAAAUUACUACUUCCAACUACUCACAACUUCCUCUCCCCAACUCAAAAAUAGAAGAAUAAUGCACUUCAAUAUACUUAAACCCAUGUCACUCUGCAGUAAUAAUAAUAUUUAUACCAAUAGAACUAAGACUCAAUCAACACUCACCUAACAAAUUAAUACAACUCAACUUGAAUAUGAUUUAACUCCAACUUAAAUCGAGGUCAAACUUAGUAGUGACUAAAGUCUAUGAGUUAAUAUUCGCUCACCAACAUUUUAAUUUUAAUUCCUUUCUUUCCAACAUAUUGACUUAUUCAUAUAUUUCAUAUCACUAAGUCAAAACCGUGGUUUUUACGUUUUCAAAAACCCACCAUUUUCAACUCCCUCAAAAUUUAUUACUCUUUUCAACUUUACAAUUUUACAAAAGUCAAAUAUGCGAUUGGGUACCAAAAUCCCCCCACACCACCUUUAUAUAUAUAUAUAUAUUUGUGUGUAACUCUAUUGUAACCCAUAUAUCUCAAAUUUUGAACCAAAUUGAAAGAGAAGAAAAAUGGGUUCUAGCAAUAUGAUCCAAGUUAUUAAUCUCCUUUUCAUCUUCAUAUUUUUUCUAUUGCUCUCAAAUUCUUUGCAUGUUGAGGGAUCAAGGUUCUUACAAGAUCAAGGGGUUUCAUCUUCUUCUUUUUCUUCAAUUUCCUAUAUAAAGCGUUUUAGUAUAAGCAUAGCUUACUCCGGUCCUAGCCGUCGUGGAGCCGGUCAUUGACGGAAGCCGAUGUGUUUCGUGUUAAACAUUAUUUUCCCAUCGCCAAGGUCACUGGGUCACAAGGUUCAGUCAGGUAGCUAGCUUUUAAUAUUUGAUGAAGGAGAUCGUACGAGGUAACCCUAGCAGCCAUGUUCAUGCAUGCGCUAAGGACUCAGCACCUUCAUGAUGGUGUGUGUGUGUGUGUUUGUUCUGUCCUAAGAAAGGGCAAGUCAUAGAGUUGAUUUUUUUUUUUAAGUUUUCUUUUUAAAUUUCUUUUAGCAUUUUUGCUAUGCUUGCUACAAGAUAUAAAUAUGUAAUAUAUUUAAUGUUUAUGUAAUGUAAAUGAUUUUUUUUUCAGACAAAUGAAUGUAGUGUUUGAACUUCUAUUCCUCUCUUACUUAAUUUUGGAUUGCCCAUAUUAUGAUCGCUUAUAUAAAUACAAAUUACAAUUUUUGUGGUACUUCUUGCUGCCUAAGAUUGAUUGAAGAUUAUCAUUAUUGAAGGUCCAAUAUUUUAUCAAUGAAUUAUUUAUACUGUGGAUGAUUAUAUAUAUAUAUAUCUUUAAUUAAUAUCAUUCUCUAUCCUUAUAGUUUUUCUUUGUACUCUUUAGCCUGGUUGACAUUGUUGCAAUUGUAGCAAUCAGAGGAGCGUAUAAGUUCAAGCGUAUUUAAGUGUACAUUUCCUUCCAUUUAAAUGUUGGGAAGGAAUUAUAAGUAAAAAAAAGACAUUACAUAAAAAAAAGGCAUUACAUAAAAAAAUCGUUUUGCACUCUUUUUUAUUUAUUUAUUUAAUAAAUCAUUUAUUCAAAUUUAAACAUGAAAGAAUAUAUACACGUACAUAUUAAAAUAAAAAAAAUUUAAAAAAAGUAUAAAGAUAGAUAAUAUGUUAUUAACAUACAUUUCUCUGCCCAUCUUUGUAACUACAAAAGAGAAUGUGGAUUCCAGCACAAUUAAAUACAUAUAUAUAUAUAUAUUAUUCUUCUAGGUUUUUUCUAUUCGCCUCAAACUCUUUGAAUGUUGAGGCUGAAGGUUCUUAAAAGAUCAUCAAAGGGCUUCUUCUUCUUCUCUUUCGAAUUCAGAUAUAAAGGGCUUUAGUAUAAACAUAGCUACUCCGAUAACUAGCUGCUGCAGAGCCGACCAUUGGCGGAAGCUGACAUCUUUCGUGUUAAAUACUAUUUUCCCAUCACAGGUCAUUGGGUCACAAGGUUCAAUGAAGUAGCUAAGUUUUUAGUAUUGAUGAAGGGGAUCAUAUUAGGUAACCCUAGCAGCCAUAUGUUCAUGCAUGCCCUAAGGACUAAGCACCUUCAUAAUGGUGUAUUUUUUUUUAUCCUAAGAGGGCAAGUCAUAGAGUUGAAAAAAAAUUGUUAAUUUUUUUCCAUGCUUGCAACACGAUAUAUAUAUAGAUAAAAUUAUCAUGAAAAUCCCUAUAUUAAGAAUUGAAUUGCAUUUUACUCCUCUAUUAAAAAUAGGCAAAUUAAUCCAUAUACCUUAAAUGAAAGAACAAAUCAGUCUUUUUUUUUUUUUUUUAUCUGAAUUUCAUCCCUCUAGAAAUUGAGAAAUCAGUCCAUGCUUGCUUGCUACAAGAUAUAUGUUACGUAAUGUAAAUGGAUUUUUUUUAUCGAAUGUAGUGUUUGAAUUUCUAAUCCUCUCUUAAUUUUGGAUUUGCCCAUAUUAAUAUAUUAUGAUGGUUUGCACAAAUAUUAAGAUAUUCAAUGUUUCUCAAUCUUGCACACAUAUAUAAAUACAAAUUAUAUCAAGCACAUGUCACGCAUGUGUAGAUAAUCAAUACUAUUUUUUGAAAUCGUAAACGUAUGCAAUCAUUUUUUUAUCAUCUUGUGUUGUCAAGGGUACCUUUUUAUAAUAUAAGUUCAUAAAAGUUAGUACCAGUAUGUUACUUAAAUAUUUAAUGAUAGUUAAUGUAACACUGUUAUACAUAAAUAUUUUUAUUUUUUAUAUAUAAGGUAUAAUAAUAAAUUUAGUCUUCAAUCUUUACAUAUUUAUUUAAUUUGACUCUUACUUUAUUAGAAAAUUUUGAAAUUAAUAUAGUUAAAGGGUCAAAAAGACCUUAAUAACAAAUCUAAAAAAAAAAUCAAUUAAGCCAUUUUAAAAUUUAAAAAUCAUUUGAAAUAUCAUGAAAAUUAUUAAAAAAAUUUAUAAAAAAAAUUUAAAAUUAUAAUUUUUUUAUUAAAACAUAAUAAUAAUGACCUAACAAAUUUUUUUUUUCAAAAUCACCAUUAGAUUUUAAUGGAUAAAUAUUGUUUUCUUUUUAAUAAGAAUUUUAAAAAUUUAAAAUUAUUAUAAGUUUCUUUUAUAAAUUUUGUUAAUAAUUUUAUGAUUUUUUUAAUAAUUUUAAAUUUUUAAAAGGGAUUAAUUGAUUUUUUUAAUUUGUUACCAAGGCCUUUUUGACUCUUUAGCCUUUUAAGUUAAAAAAAAAAUUCUAAUUUACUUCCAAUAAAAGAGUAGGGGUCAAAUUAAAUAAAUGUAUAAAGGUUGAAGGCUAAAUUUGUUAUUAUACCUUAUAUAUACAUCAAAUUUUAAUGGAGGGUUGUUUUGCUCACUCAUCUAACAUAAACCUUAUCAUGAGUCGGGUCCCCCGAAAAGUGGGAGGGUGUGGGCAAAAAUAUAGACCCAAAAAAUGGAAUUGGGCAAAAAAGGCUCGUUUAGAAAAUGAGCUGCGCCUCAGGUAAGCUUUUUUCACUGUUUUGCUGUCAUUUCACUAUUAUAUUGCUACUAUUUUGUUGUUAUUAUUUGGAUAUUGUAUAACUCUUGUUUAUUGUUAAUUUUGCUACUAUUUUAGAGGCAUUUGCUUGUUAUUUAAGCAUAAAAACUUUUUUAAUGUAUUUUUAAUUUGUUGGGAAACAUUUAUUUUAAUGUUUUUAGUGUAUUUGAUGUAUUAUAUUUUUAAAUUUAUUUUUAUAUAAAAAAUUUAAUAUGGGCAAAUCGAGCUCGGGUUUUAGCUUCUUUUUAUCUGGGCUAGGACAAAAAUUUAGGCUCAUUUUUCUGGUUGAGCCCGAGCCUAUCAAAUGAGCCUGGAUUUUUGUUAUGGCCCAGCCCGAUUCAGCCCAUGAUCACCUCUAAUCUAACGUAGGUGGGCUAAUUUGUCCUUUUUUUUUCAAUAGAGGGGCUAAAAUGUAAUCUAAGGUAUAGUAUAGGGGGUUUUGUGGUACUUUUACCCUCAAUUGGCAUCGUUGUUGUUGUAACUACCAGGAAGAUGUGGGUUCAAGUCUGAUUAAACAUAUAUUAUCCCUUUUUAUGAAAGCAUGCAAGUAUUAUUUUUUUAUUUAAGGGUUGGGGUUUCUGAGCAGUAGUAGGAAUUGUAUUUAAAAAAGGGUUAAAUAAUUUUUUGGGGCUUGAACUUGGUAAUAUUUCUCUCACAUUGAAGCUUUAACUUUUUUUUAUUCAAGUUAGGCCUUGAACGGAAAUUGUUUCCACAUUGGGGCUUGUACUUUUUUUUUCCAACUUAGUGCUUGAAAACCUUAGAGUUCAGACCUAAUGUGGGAACAAUUGCCAAGUCUAAGGGCUAAUUUGGACAAAAAAGGUUUAAGCCCUAAUAUGGAAAUAGUUGCCUAGUUGGCCAAUGUGGGAACAAUUGUUAAGUUUAGGGCUUAACUUGGAUAAAAAAAAGUUUAAACCCCAAUGUGGAAAAAUUUAUCAAGUUUAGACCCAAAUAAUGAUUUAACUCUUAGCAAACUUACAUAUCUCUUAUUUUGAUCUAAUUAUGAGUUUCAUCCCCUACUUUAUAAAGCUUGAGAAGUUAGCCCAUCCAUUUUAAUUUUUCAAAAUUUAAUCUUUGUACUUAAUGACACGAACAAGUUAGUCUAAUAGGGUAAUUUUGUUAAAUUUUACUUUUAAAUCAUUGAUUUGGAAAUCAUCAAUUGAAUAACUUAAAUACAAGAAAUUAGUAAAAAUAAAGUAGUCUAGCAAUUUAUAUGCAACAAAUUAGCAAAAAUAACCCUUCAAAUUCACGUGUUUGUUAAUAACUUGACUACCGUCACAAUUUUGAUGAAAUAUGAGUAUCAAAUUCUAAAAAUUAAAAUAUAUAAAUUAACUUCUCAAUUUUGUACUUUGAAAAAUUUUACAAUUGGACUCAUUUAGUUUCUCUCUCUCUCUUUUUUUCAUUCCAAUUUGGAUAAUUAUUUUAUCAUUAAGCAUUAUAAAACGAUCAUCUUUAUUAUUUUCUCUUCUAUUUUUUUUGGUGAAUUACAAGACGAGGGCAAAGCCCUAACAGCAUCGCGACUAAUACGACUCGAACCCAAGCUACACUUGAGGCGGUGAACACUCUAAUCAUCAAACCAAUGCACGUAAUACACCCAUUUUCCACACUUUUGGCUCAUCUAUUUCCAUCUUUUCAUUUUACCAAAAAUACCUUUUUAAGUUUAAACUCUACAUUCAAAGUCAUAACUUUGACUUUUGAACUAUUUGUGUAGUUUAAUAAUUUUUCUCUUCUUUAAAAGAAAGGACCCAUUUGAUAAAACUUCUACUUUCUAUCUUUUAUACAAAAAUGGAAUGGAAAUUAUAAUAAUAAAAAGCUUAUGAAAUGGAACGUGAUCUCUUUUUUGCUUUUGUGAAAUUAAAUACCUUAAUUAUAUACACCCAAUAAGAAGUAAGAACACCACUAUUUCUAUAUUUCUAAUAGUUGCUGCCUGGAAUGGUUUUCUUUGAAUUUCAACACUUCUUUUAUAUAAUAAUUAGUAUAGUUCCUACCCACGUUCCCUGUUAAGGUAAUUAUUUUUCGAUUUAAGGGUAUACAAGGUUCUUAAACUUUAAAAAAAAAAAUCAAGUCAUUUUUUUUCUGCACUAAAUUGGAUACUUAAAAUUUUAAAAUGUAUUAAAAAAGUCAUUUAACCGUUAUCUUUAACAGUCGACCGUUAAAGUUAACUGUCUCUAAUUUUGAUAUUUGUCAGGUGUCAUGUAAGGGUGGCCCUAAUUUUGAUAUUUAAGGGCUUUAAUAAUUAGUAUCACAGGUCAAUAAGAUAGGGGCGAUUUUAGAGGGGCUUGGCUUCCCUCAAAUGGAAUAAUUACAUUGUAAUCCCCCUAACAAAUGAUAAAAUUAAAAGAUAUUUUUUGUAAAAUUAUACUUUGAUCCGCCAAAAUAAAAAGAUUAUUAUUUAGUCCUUUUUGAAGUGAUGAAAUCAUAAGUUAUCACAAAAAAAAAUGAUUUAAUUUCGACUCUCUAACUUUUUUGAUCAAUUUAGUUUAAAAUGAUUUAUUUUUUUUAUAAAUAAUAAAUAUUACAACGAGGGUUUUUUAUUUUUAUAUAAAAUUUAUAAAAUAUUAAUUUAAACAUGAAAUAAAUUUAAAAUAAUACUUACAGGGAUUUAAAUAUAAGACACAUUGGUACCUAAAAGCUCAUUCUUACCCUUUCAAGCUUCAUUUAAAUAUACAUUUCUUGAAACAUUCUUUCUUGUUGCCUUUUUCUUUGAAAAGAAUAAUAACAUGCAUUAGAAUAUUUGGGAUGAUUAAUGCUUCCACACCAACACCCAACAACUUUUCCCUUUUUUAAUAUAUAUAUAUAUAUAAGAUGAUCAAAAUAUUCCCUGUCCUAAAUGUGGCUUGUAUUUGAAUCACGUUUAUCACGUUUAUUAUUCGGAUUUUGAUAAUGCAUUUUUAAAAAAUUAAUUUCUAUCAUCAAUUAGCUCAAAUGUUGGAGAGGAUAAGAAAAAAACACAAUUUUUAUAUUCAAGUUAUAAUUUAUAGUUUGUAAAUAUAUAUAUAAUUUAAUUUUUUAUUGAAUUAGUGUUACGGGUUAAUCGGACAUUAAUUAAAUUAAUUAAAAUUGAGAAAAAAAAUAGGAAAACAAGAAUAAAGGGAUGGGAACAUCAUAUAUUAUACAAUAUAUUUUGGUCUUCAGUCAUCUAUGAUAAACAAACGACAAUAAUACAAGUGGACCGACCAGCCAUGGCAGCCUUUUUUUGGGGGGGUUAAAAAUAUAUUGUAGUUUGAUAAAAUUUUAAUUUUAAUUUUAAUCUUAUACUUAAAAAAAAUUAUUUAAAAAACUCAGUACAAUUAUUAAAAAUGUAAAUAUUUUCUGUUAGCAUUUGUCAAUUUAAUAUGCUGAUUAGGCUGUUCUCUUGUGAUUGUGACAAGGCAUAUAUGUUGAUCAAUUGACAAAUUUUUAUGGUAACUAUCAAUGAUAAUAAUGAUUUAAUUAGAAUUCUUUUUAACUUUUAAAGUACAUAGACUAAAUCUCAAAAUUUAUCAAAGUAUAAGGACUAAUAACAUAUUUUAACCUUUUUUUUUUCAGCUGCAUACCAUGCUAGCUUUAUUAGAUUUAAACGGUAAAAUCGAGCUUAUAAAAAUCAUGAAGUCUUAGGUUUAAAUCCCCUUAUUCUUAUAACAUGUAUGUAUUUAUAUAGAUUUAUCAAAAUAUAAAAAAAAUAUAUAAAUAUUCUCGAAAUAAUAUUUGUUGCGUUAAAAACUGAAUAGGCUUUUAGUAAUUUUACAGUUGAAUCAAGACUCGAUUAAUGAAUAAAACCAAUUCGAUCAAUCACAAAUUAUAAUAGUAUGGAUAUAUAGUUUAGUUAUAACUGAUAACUCCUUGUGGUGCAAUGGAAUGUUUGCCACAUUUUCGCUGUCAAAACUAAAGUUUAGACUGGUGGUCUAACUGGUUAAGUUGUUAGUUCAAUUAAGUCUAUAUCAAUUUUCGAAUUAACCAAUCCAAUAUCUUUCUCUAAAUCAAUACUCCAAUUAAUUUUCGACGUUUCUAUUUUCGCACGUGAGUACAUAUAUAUCAACAUGUAUGUGUAAAUAUAUAAUAAUGUGUAGUUACGGAGGGCCCUUUCCCAUUUGAUGUUCGCAAAAACAAUUGUUUAUCCACAAUAAAUAUUUAAUUUCGGCUAUUAAUAUUUAUGCUUUGAGCAGUGUUUCUGAAGGUAAUAAUAAAGUUACUCAAAAUUAAAUAUCCGCUUUACUUACUGUGUUUAUUUGGUGAAAAAUAAAUUAUCAAAGAAAUCAUUCUUAAAAAAGAGGGUAAAAUCAAGGUUUUUUUAAGAAAAAUGUCUUACCAAUUUUUUUCUAUAAGACAUUUUCCAAAUUGAUAAAGCUCUGUUCAUUAUCUUCACCGUAGAAGAAAUAAAAAGGGGAAGCUUUCAGAGCAAUAGAGGCACUGUCGAAGAAAAAGCCCCUUAUAUUCUAAUUUUAUAUUUUUUAUGAUUUAGUCCUUGAAAUCUAAAUUUUUUCUAGUCUACAAUUUAAUUCCUCAAAACUAGAUUUUCUUAUUCUACACUUCAGUCUUAAACCUUGUUUUGUACAGUUUUGCAAAAUAGUCCAUUUUUUAAAAUUUCUAGAUUUUAUAAUUUAGUCCUUACAACUAAAAUUGUCAAAAUUUCCAAAAUUAAGUCCUUGAUUUUUGAAUAGUUAAACUUUCAUAUUCUAUUUUUCAAAAUUGUAAAUUCUCAAAUAAUGUAAAUUAGUCCAAAAACUCAAGUUUUGAAAUCUUUACAAUUUAACCCCUAUAGUUUCAAACAUUACUAUUUUAUGCUCAACUUUCCAAAUUUUCAUAUUUCAUAAUCACUACAUCAAUGUUUCAAUUUCACUACUCAAACCCUUAGAAAUUGAAAAUUUACAAAAUUUACAAAUUAGUCCUUACUUCAAUUUUUUAUCAAAUUAAAUAUUUUUCAACUUACUCAUCCAAAUAAUAUUAAAAAUAAAUAUUUACCACUUUAAACUUAAUUAAACAUAAAUUUAUAUAUAUUCUCUAAUGUACGAAAUUAACAAUUAAGCUUAAUUAAGUAAAUUAAGAUUAAUUAAAACUAAAACAUGAUUAAUUAAAAUAUAAAUAAGCUUUAUGAAAUAAAAUCAAUUAAACAAUGAAAAAAUAAUAAAAUCUCAAAUGUACGUUUGUUUCAUUGAAAACAAUUUUCAUGAAAUAUUUUCAGGAGAUCUGUCAAACAACAGAAAAUAUUUUACAUAAAUUCAUCCAAACACCAGAAAAUAUUAGCUUUUCUAAGAAAGUAAGUCAUUUUCCAGAAAUUUUUUUCAAAAAUCAUUUUCAGUGAAACAAACGGAGCCUUAAUAGCUCUUUUGAAAGAAUUUAAUAACAGUUAUUUGUUUUUAGAUGUAUGCAUACUAGUAUUUAGUUUUUUUUAAUUUAUUUAGUUUGUUACAUAACGUGUCACGAAAAUAGUAUAAAGUUUCAAAAAUAUAUUGUACUUCUAAUGGGAGCUGCAAAUUUGAACUUUAGAUAUAAUAUUAUUGAGAAAAUAAUCACAAAUCUCGAAUUAAGAUUUUCAUGUUAUGGCCCAUUAGACUUUCAGUGCCCAAACUCUUCAAGUUCGGCUAAAGUAACUAGCAGCCCGGUAGAUGCUGCUGCAUUAGGUACUUGUUCACAAAAUUCAUAGCAUCAGCAUCAAUGUCGUCAAGGUGAUUCAUUGUUGUGCUCUGCAUCUGUUUUUCACCUCAUCAAUGAAAGUUUGCAUGUUCCUGUCAGAGGAACCACCGUCUGCAAUUGCUUCCUCCGCCGCUAGUUUCCACUUCAAUGCGUUGCUCUUCAAAUCCUUUGCCUUCAGCCCUAACGUUGCUUCCACAAAGCAUUUUGCCACCUCUUCUUUUGGAGUUAUCCCUUUUUUGCCCUUUCCACGGCCCAUUCUCAAGCCGGUUUUGAACACAUCGACCAAGUAAACAGCAUUUGUCACUUGAUCGCCCCAUUGAGGGAACGCAAUGAUGGGCACACCACAUGAAAGCGUCUCCAACACCGAGUUCCAACCGCAAUGCGACAUGAAGCAGGAAAUUGAAGGGUGGGUCAGCACUUUCACUUGCGGACUCCAUAGCAAGAUCUUGCCAUUGUCACCCACUUUCUCCAAAAACCCUUCAGGCAAAGUGUGGAAUGGAAGGCCAAACUCCUUUGCUGGUGGUUUCAUUACCCACAAGAAUGAGAUACCAGUGGCUAACAGCGCCUUAGCUAUUUCAUCCACUUGUUCUUGUUUCAAGUAAACAACGGUACCAAACGAGAUGUAUAUCACUGAGGAGGCCGGUUUGGAGUCGAGCCACUCGAUGCAGUCGUCGGGUUUCAUCAUGUCACAACGGAUCGUGCUGUUUGGUACUUCCGGGUAUUUGACCAAUGGACCAACAGUCUUUAUAAGGCAAAAUUUGGACAUGUAUUCAACUAUUUCAGGUUCUAGUUCCUGGAAAGUGUCUAUUAAUACACAAAAUGGCUUAUCAAGUUUCUUAAAUUGACCAAGAAUGGCGGUCCUCAAGAAAGCAAAAGGAGUUGAAGGGCGCAAAUAGCUAGGAACUUCAUCGUGCUUGAGAAGUGGCAUGGACGGCAACUGAACAUCAAUUUCAGGAUCAGUUUCAGUAGGAAACGGCACUAACCCAUGAUUGUAAUGGUAAUAGGCGGCGAAACACGCGCAAGACUGCACCCAAAGCAUUGCUGAAGGGAUGCCGAGACUUUCAGCAACAUCAGAUGCCCAAGGAAUGUAAGGGUUGUUGAUUAAGCAGGAAACGGGACGGUUUUGCUCGGCGUAUCUCUUGAUCAUCGCUGAAAUCGCUGGUUUGCCUGCGAGCUCCAGUUGGUGCAUGUAUUGGUCGAGGUGUGCGCGUCUCGGGUCGUCGUCGUCCCAACCAUCCUGGAACGAUUCAAAUCGGAGAAAGCCAUCGCCCACAGGGAUAAGCUGGUCGUCAGUGAUGUUGUUGGCUUUAGCCAUCUGUUUGCCGAAGACUUUGGGGGUAGAUAGUGUGAUAAGCAAACCCUUGGAGGCAAGGCGCUUGCCGAGUCUAAGUAGAGGGUUUACAUGGCCUUGGGCUGGAAAUGAAACAAGAAACGCAUGAAGCAGAGGCUCAGUUCUCAUUCUACGCUUAAAAGAAGAGAAAGAUGCCAAUUAUCUAUUGAGCAAUAUAUGGAGGAAUGAAAUGGUAGUGUGUGUAUAUAUACACACACACAUAAUGAUUUAUUUCAAGAUAUAAUAUUUUAAUAUUUUUUAAAAUUUAUAUAUUUUUGUAAUUUUUACAUUUUCUAUUUUUUUUUAUAAAUUUUACAAUAAUUUUCAAAUUUCUAAUAUUUUUAUAAUUUCUUAUAGUUCAUUUAAUAAUUUUAUUAUUUUUUACCAUUUUAAAAAAAUUCUAGCAUAUUUUUAAUUUUUUAAACAAUUAUAUUUAUUUAUUUCGAUCCCCACUUAUGGGAAUGGAGCACAUUUCAUAGCCAGCCGUUUACCUUUUCGAAGAGCACUUGCAAUGAGAGCAUUAAUUACUACUGUCGGCUAUGAUACGCUAACAAUGACGAAAAUAUAUAUAUUUAUAAUUUAUUUAUUUUUUAAAAUUUUUAAAUUUUUUAGGUUUUUUUUGGAUGAUGGCAUCAUUGCAUCAUCAGUGUAGGCCACAGAUAAUUUUAUGAUUGGUUGGAUAUCACAACAUUUUUUUUUUUUUAACGUCCAAAGGACUGAACUGAAAACUUUUGAUAAAGUUAAAGAUUGAACUGAGAACAUCUAAUAAUGUUAGGGAUUGAAAUAAGCCAAUUUAGGGGACAAAUAGACAUGUCCAUGGGUCGAGCCACCCGGCCUAGCUUGAAGACCAACCCGAAAAAUGGAAGGGUUUGAGUAAAAAUGUAGACCCAAAAAAUAGGCUUGGGCAAAAAAAAUAUGGCUCAUUUAGAAAAUGAAUCAGGCCUUGAGUAAGGCUUUUUUGGCUCUAAGCUCGGCCUGGACCGAAUAUGCAAAAAAUAUAUUAUUUUUUUACUGUUUUGUUGUUAUUUUCUUAUUUUUUUUCUCACUAUUUUGCUACCAUUUCACUAUUAUGUUAGCUACUAUUUUGUUAUUAUUUUGUUAUAAGUCUUGUUUUAUUAUUAAUUUUGUUACUAUUUUAGAGGCAUUUGCUUGUUAAGUUGCGCUUAUCUUAGUGUUAUUUAAGUAUAUAUAUUUUUAAUUUGUUUUUAAUUUGUUAGGAAACAUUUAUUUUAAUACUUUUAAUAUUUUUGAUGUAUUAUAUUUUUAAAAAAAUUAUAUAAAAAAAUUAAUACGGGUGUCUCGAGCCUUGAAUUUAACAUUUUAAUCCGGGCGGAGCUUAGACAAAAUUUUAGGCUCAUUUUUGAGCCGAACCCAGAUCUAGCAAACGAGCUUAAAAUUUUUUGUUGGGCUCGAUCCAUGAACACCUCUAAGACAAAGGAAGAAAAGCGGUAUACGUAAAAAAAAAAAAAACUACAGGUUGCAUUAAACUUUUCUUAAUAUGAGAUUAAUAUACUUACCUACUUCUUUAAAGCCAUAGAAUGGAAAAGAGAGAAAAUUGGCAUUUUCAACUUCACUUAUUAACGAAGAGACGUGGGGAAUGACUGGGUGCAAACCAAUUUUUUCUCCCAAAGGAUACAUAGUUGAUGUUUCUGGAUACUAUGUGUAUGUGUGUUCCCUUCUUCAGGUGGGAUAAAAUGACAAAUAUAAGCUCAAUUAUCAACUUCAAUUAGCUUCUUAAGACGUAUUUAUGUAUCUGUUAUGUUACGUAUGUAUGAUAAUAGAUUCUUAAGGUUUCUCUACGUAAGAUGUGAGCAUAUUGGAGCAUAUAACAAAUUAGGCCAUUGAGACGGUGAUGUGGUGUGAAUUAUGAGCUAGAUUACUUAUCGAGCGAGUGAAUACAUUUAAAUUUAAAUUCGUUUAAGUGCAUAAUGUCCUUUACUUUAAACUUAAGUUUGUUUACUUUACUCAUAUAUAUAGUGGCGGAGCCACUAUGAGACCACGGGGUCAUGACCCCUCAAGGUCUAAGAUUUUUCAAUUUUCUCAUUAUGGCCCUCCCAAAGCCCCUUCAAUAUUUUUAUACUAUUAAAUGUUCCAAAUCAUCUGACAUUACAGAAUCUGUCCAUAAUUUUUUAUCUUUGUCAAGGAUUAACAAAGAUACAAAUGUCAAAGAUAUAUUAAGGCCUACACAUUUUCCACUUAAAAUUGUGUUUCUUAUUAUAGAAAGAUGAAACUUUUUAACAAACCUCUCAGGUUUGAUGUUGUUGUUUUUUUUUUCUUUUUAUUAAACAAAUUUUCACUUAAGAUGAUGUGCUUCAUGUUAUACAAUUAUAGGUAAUUUGGGUGUUUGAAGUAAACUCCUAAAGUCUUCAUUAUAGGAGUUGGUUUUCUACAUGCAUGUGGGCACUAUUUGUUUGCAAUGCCUUUUGGUGUAGUCUGGUUUUUGUAGGUUUUGAUAUUAUUUUGGUGUUAUAUGCCAUAAAUAGUCUUAUAGUUGGGCUUUAUUUAAAUCUUUAAUAUUUGUAUCUUUCUAUUGAGAAAUAAGAUGUAUGUGACUUUGAGAUAGAAAUGAAAUUUCUAAGAAAAGGGAUAAUUAUGGAAAUUUGAUUAAAAUUUGUAGGAUAUGGUAAUAUAUUUGAGAGGUUGAUAAAUAAUUAAAGGGGUAAACUAUCAAAAUAGUCACUUUUGUUUAUCCCAGAUUACAUUUUAGUCACUUAUGUUUGAAAUGUUAUGUUUUAGUAACUUACGUUAACGUGUUGUAGCAUUUUAGUUACGGAGCCGUUAAUUGUUGUGGCUCGUUAAAUUAUCAUUUCAAACAAAAAUUUUAGGUUAAAUUAUACAAUUGGUCCCCAUAUUUUUUCUUUUUGAGCAAUUUAAUUUUUUUCUUUUAUGUUGUUUUAAUUAUCCUUUUUUUCCUUUGUUUUUCAUUCUCUUCUGCUUCUUCCUCUCUUUUCCUCCUUUCUCCAUCUCUUUUAAUGUAGUUUUUCUAUGUUUUUCAUUUGUUAAAACUAAAGGGGAAAAAGAAAAAAUUAAAUUGUUCAAAAAAUAAAAGUAUAGGGACUAUUUUUAACAAAUAAAAAACAUAAAAAAAACUACGUUAAAAGAGAUGAAGAAAACAAAUAGAGAAGCAGAAGAGAAUGAAAAAAAAAGAAAAAAAAAGUUAAAAACAUAUAAAUGGAAAAAUUAAACUGCUCAAAAUGAAAAAUAUGGGGACCAACUGUAUAAUUUAACCUAAAAUUUUUAUUUAAAAUGAUGAUUUAACGUGCCACGUCAGCUUACCGUUACACUGUUAAAGGCAGUCAACGGCUCAGUGACUAAAAUGUUAUAACAUAUUAACGUAAGUGACUAAAAUGUAACAAUAUUUCAAGCAUAAGUGACUAAAAUAUAAUAUGAGGUAAACAAAAGUCACUAUUUUGAUAAUUUACCAUAAUUAAAAAUAUUAAAAAUUCAGAACAAAUUGAUGGUUCAAUCAUCUGAUAUUGAUUUGUAAUGCUUUUUACUUAAAAUUUUAGAAGUUGUAUUUUAUUUAAUUUAUAUAGGUAAUCGAUUUUUAUUGGAUUGAGUGAUAAGAAGUUUGAUAUUGUUUUUAAAUAAAAUUUCCGGUAAAAUCUCCAUUAAGUUUGGUAAGAAGUUUCAUCACUAGAAGCACGUGAGAAAACAAACAUUUUCAGUACUCUGAUUACUACUAUAUCUCCAUUAUUAGGUUUGAACCUAUGUCUCUCCUUGAGGGUAUCCAAUGUACCUCACUAUUUGCACCCAACACUUGUUGGUUCAUGAGACUUUCUUUGUUAAUAUGACUUUUGCCAUUAUUAACAUAUAUUGAAAUUACUACCCAACGUAUUAAUUUGUCGUCCAAAAUCUUUCGAUAUUUUAUAAUCAUGUUAGUUUUCGAUUAAAUUUAGAGCUAGACCGGAAUCAAACUCUUAACCAGUAAGUAAAAUAUAUAUUUAGCAAAAAUAUAUAAUGUUUAGAAACUUGAAAUAAGAUUUAAAUAUGGAUGAAAAAAAUAUAAAUCAUUAUAUAUAUUAGACACAUUUAUAAAUUAAUAUAUUUAGCAAAGGGUAUAAAUUAUGUUAGGAUGAUUUUAAAAUAUUUAAUUUUUAAGUACCGAUAAAAUGGUAUCGCAUUAUUUACCUUUAAAAAUGUAAAAGUAUUAUUAUACACGCAUUGAUAUUUAAUAUCUUCUCUAAUUUAACUUUAAUUAAUUAAAAAAAAGCUUAACUUUAAUUAAAGUAUAAAAAAAUUAAAAAAAAUAAACAAACACUUUUCUUAUUUUAUAAUUUUUAAAUCAUUUUUAAAAUUUUUUACCUUAAAGAAAUCAUUAUUUUUUUUAAAUUAAUGAUUGGUUUCGAUUUUUAUUUUCACUUUUUUUUUCUUAUAAAUUGUUUUAUAAAUUUUUUGAAUAUUCUCUAAUACUAAAUUAUCUAUAAAUAAUUUUUUCAAACCAAAUCCUAACAGAGUUAAACUCAUACAAUUUACUUUCAAAUAACUUAACAUGUUUAUACGUAAAUGGAAAAGCUAUAGUUACAUAAUUAUAUUUAUUUCUAUUAUUUUCCAUCAUCAUUACAUUACCUUACAAAACAUCCAUAUAUCACUGCUAAACUAUCUCCACCUCUGUCGGGGAGUGCUUAUUCACAAAAUUCAUAGUAGCUGCAUCAUUGUCAGUGCUUGUGCAUCUCCUUCUCACCUCAUUAAUGAAGGCUUGUAUGUUCCUAUCAGAGGAUCCGCCACCUGCCAUCGCUGCCUCCGCCGCCGCCUUCCACUUCAAGGCGUUGCGCUUCAAAUCCUUUG